AUUGGAUAAUCACAAGUUGCAUAGAGGCAGUUAGUUCACACGAGAAACAGGGGAAGAAGAAGUGCUCAAGGAUUAUAAUUCCUCUGCUUGGAUGAUCACAACUUGCAUAGAGGCAACAAGGCAUGAUGACUAGAAAAAGGAAUCUUAAUUAAUGGCUACUAGUAAAAAAAAAGGUAACACUAGUAGUAUAAAACACAAGAAAGACACCACUUAUAAAUCCCUAAACAUAGAUGAACUGCAAAAAGAAUAUUCAGAGUUGAGUACACCAAGCUCCAAUAUAAACUGCUGACUAUGAUUGGUGAUCCCCCUACUUCAACCUCCUGAUGGCUACUACUUGACACAAAGUUUUCUCUAACUUAGCAAACCAACUUACAAAUCUCCUUGACUUCACUCUUGCUUAGAGCACACCAACUUUCCUAAUUGACUGCCUAGCUGCCUCUGCCUCUGCUGCUGCUGCUGCUGGUUUAGCUCUCCUUCUCACCUAGUACCUAAUUUGCAAGCAACUGCAAUGCAACAACCACUGACUCUGUGAUUGAUCCAUCUAUUUCUCCUGCCCUCCUCACUCACCCUCCUCUAUACAAACAAAAAAUCUUCUUAGGGGGAACCAAUUAAGUAAUAGACAAAGAAAAAGAGGUGGAGUAAACCCAAAAGAAAAGCCCUAUUGAACUAACGCCAGGAUACCCGGCGAUUUGAUGGAUGGAUGGAUGCUGACUGAAACCGAUGCAUGGCGAUGAUGGUGGGUGGAUGCAUGAAGGCAAUGCUAAGCACUGCCAUGACGACGAUGAUGACUGACUGACUAGUUGGAAGCAAGCAUGCAAUGCAUACAUACUAGCAUGUAUACAUAUAUAAUAGCUAAGGGGGACGAGACCGACCGUCCGGCGACCGAUGCCGGUGCGGGGAGCUCAAUCCCGGCGGCGGAUGAACUGCAGGAGGUCAUCGCCCUUGGGUUCAACCUUCUGGCGCAUCUCCACCACCUUCUUGUGGGAGUUGGAAUGGAUGGCUGGCACGAAGGUGGGGCUGGCCGCCGGGCGGUAUUCCGGGAAGAGGCGACCGGACUUGUAGCGCACGCCGCAGGCAUUGCAGAGAGUCUUGGGCCCCAGCGGCCCCGCACGCCACUGCGGCGUCUUGUCGAUCUGGCAAUGCGUGCACCUCCUCACCUCGCCAGGCGCGAGCGCAGUGCCGCUGCCUUCCUCGUAGUCGGCGUCGCCCUCAGCAUCAGAGGUGACCGGAGGGGUCGGCCUCUUGGCCUUCUUCUUCUUCUUGGGCUGCGAGUUGGACUCAGCAAUGCACUCAGGCUCCUCCGAGUAGGAGGAGGUGGAGGAGAACAUGGGCGUCGGCACCAGGAUGGUGGCCUCGGGCGCGGGCACAGCGGCGCGGAUGGCAGCGGGGAACGCAGAGGCGCGGGAGCGCUUGCUGCGCGCGCGCGCCGGGAUGACGAGCACGGGCGGCUCCGGGCGCGGCGACAGCGGCACAGACCACGGGCGGCCGCUCCCGGAGAAGGACUCCGAGGAGGACGACGCCGAUGAAGACGUCGACGACGCUGAGGAUCCUCCGCUGUUGUUGUUGUUCAUGUUAACGUUGGCGUUGUUCGCGCCGUCCUCGAGCACGGAAGUGGGGCUGGAGCUGCGGAAGAGCGCGUCCUCCAUCUUGUCGGGCAGCACGACGCCGGCGUUGGCACUCAGCGCGGAGGCCCUGAUGAUGGGCGCGGCGCAGGCGAAGGCCGGCUCCUGCGGGAUGGAGGUGUCGUCGAAGAGCCCCGACAGCCACUCGAGCUGCGCCAUGUCCAUGUCCAGCUCGUCGCACUGCAAAACAAAAAGCAAGGAAUCCCAUGUCAGAAACACCCUCCCAGUUCACUGCAGCCUGCAAUCGACGCCACUACUUUUUUUUCUUCCUUUUCCAUUCGAAUAGACUACUGUUCAAUCAGUAAAGCAAACGCCGGCACGUCCGGGCCGGGCUGGCCCACGGUGAUGGGUUUAAUUUGCUGUUGCGUAAAGGGUAGGGGAGGAAAAGGUGGGCUGGCUACUGGUAGGACUGGACUGGCGGUACUGCUGGUGCACACACACACUGGAUGGAGUAGUUGCUCAGUUGUUGUUGGGCUAGCUAACUACCGAAAGCGAUGGGCCCCCGGUACGUAACAUGGCCGGGCCCCCGCACCCCAUCCCCCCACCGGUAAAAGAAAAGAAAAUCUAUGGAGUGGCAGUAACUUUGGUCACGGCCUCAUGCCACCGACACCUCCACCUCCCCGGCGUGCGCCCGCCCAUGACCCAACCACCCCGGCCAUUCACGCCGGUGCGGUGCGGUGCGCCGGCCGUGAUUGUUCCCCCCGCUCCUCGCGCCCGGACAACACGGCAGCCGUGUGGAGUCAGAGUCACCUCCGUCCCCUUCCAUGUGACCACUAAUGGCGGUGUGCGCCGUGCGGUGCGUGCUGUUUUGGUGGUGCGCCGCGUGAUUGCCGCCCAGCUGUUUCGAACUUUUGAAUUUCGAACCCUCUGGAGGCAGGGAGGGGUAAGAAGAAAAAAAAGAGAUGAGAUUGAUUUUUUCGAAACUGCCGUGCGCGACCGACAGGGGCGGUUCGUCGGCUAGGUCAGGCAGGCGGGCACGUAUCCGCUCCUCCUUAAAAUCAGCCGUACGCGGGAGUCGGCAACCACCCAACCAACCGUGCCCGUGCUGGCACGCACGCGCGCCCGCCGACGCCGACGAACUGAACGAUCGGAACGAACGAGGGCAGAGGAAAAAAACAAUUACUCACCGUGCCAAUGUGGGUGUCUCCGAGGGCGCCGAGGAAGGCCGCGGAGUGGUCCCCGGCGGGCGGCGGCGGGGGCACCAUGAGCGACGCCUGCUGCUGCCCAUCCAGCGAGGCCGGCGCCGGCGGGGGGACGCCGCCGCCGAGGACGCGCGCGGCGAGGGGGCUGUCAGGCACCGGCGCGUCGAGGAGCAGCACGUCCUCCGCCGAGUCCUCCUUGGGGAAGUCGAGCAGGUCCUCGAUGUGGUCGAACAGCCCCCCGCACGUCGCCUCCAGCAGGCUCUGCUCGUGCUCCCUCAUCAUCUCCUCCAUGAACCGCCCGCUCGCCAUCGCCUCAAUCUCAAUCUCAAUCUCAAUCCCAAUCUCCUCAACCUCUGACUUCCUUCCCGUCUUCGCCUGCGUUACUCUGCGACCAAAGCACAAUCGGGAGAGGCAAGUAUAAAUACAGGGCCGGGAUUAAUGCCGACGCGAGGCGGAUCGUAAAUUUGGAUAUGCACGCAUUAAUCGGCAUCCAAGGUAAGCAGCCGCGGCAAUACAUGGCACCAAAUUAAGACAAGGCCGGAUUUUAUACACACCUAAUAUCACGAUACCGAUUCUCGUCUCGUCUCGCAAGCGGACGCGACGCUAAUCGGGCCUAUCUAUCUAUCUAUCUCUAAUCUCUAAUGCUACCAGAACGCGAUCUCCUCUGAGCUGUAAAACAAACAAACAUAUUUGUAAACAAACGGGUCCGGCCGAAGGAUAUAUAUCUUCUGCGAACGGAACCAGGCUCCUUUUUCAAAGUGACGGCAGCGCGCCCGCGGGCGGGCCGGCGCGGGGCCCGCAUGUAUGCGGUGCAUGAUGGCCCGGGCCCGCCCCGCGCCCCAUGUGAGACGCGCAUGUGACGUGCGGGUUUCCCAUUUUUCUUUUUCUUUAUUCCGAAGCAAAGGCGCCCAUACAGGUGGCGUACAAUGAGAAAAAAGAUGUUACAAGAAAAAAUCAAGGGGUGGGGUGGUUGUUUCAUGUUUGGUCUGGGUUGAUUCACCACCAAGGUAAAAGUCAAACGCGGCCAGCACAAGGAAUUUGUCAUUGGCUGACGUGGCGGCAGGCCAUUGGCCCGGACGCGUCACUGGCGUGCCAUGUGGGAGCAGAGGACGCGUCAAACGGAAGCCGCCCUGCCCCCUCGGUAAAGCGGCUAAUUAUAAUUAACGCCCCGCCCCCCGGUGGAAACACCGAGGAAUUCGCUUCCAUUUGCCCGAUCCGAUCGCGUUUACCGUACGGAUCAAACAAAGGGAAUCUCGCCGGGCGAAGCGCAAGGAAUCUCCCGGCCCUGCGUUUUCACUGCCCCGCGCGUUUUUUUUUUUUACUAUUUUCGUUCGUUUUCACACCGAAUUUGAAUUUGCAUAUUUUUUUACCCUUGGAUGCCCUGUGUUUCCUUCCAGAGGGGGAAUCCAGGCUGGAGGAGGGGCGAAAGUAGAAAAAACCAAAAAAGGCUGGGCCGGGGCACAAUGGAGGGGAAUACCGUGGCAGGGCAUCCCAUCCGUUCCUUCGCCCAUUCAAUUUCUAUCCAUAUCAGGGCACAGUAGCCCAGCCGCCGUGACGUCGUCGGCCGGAAGGAAAUUUCCCCUUCUAUCAUUGAGACGAACAACUUGACCAAAUGGGCUGGGAACUUUCAAAUUUUUGAAAAAAAACAACAAACGAGCCCCAAAAAUGGACUGGGGACCUUCUAGCUUGCACAAGGAAGAAGUCCAAACUUGGUGCAGUUUUGAAAAAGUCCGGAACUGGUGCUAUUUUCUCCCUUGCCAUUCAUCCUUUCUUCUUUCCAGGAAAGAAACUCAGAAUGAUCGAAUAUGAAUAUGGCAGGGAAGCUGGCUGGCGGCACGGCACAUGGCCGCGCGCCAGACAGGGUGGUGCCACAAAUGGCAAUUUCAAACGCAAAAACGGCCGGAAGGACGAAAGACUGCAGGAAGGCUUCUGAAUUUGAAUUCCUUGUGAUAGUAUCUUGUCUUCUUAUUUUACUUUCCCCCACUUCCAAUGAGAAGAAAUGACUGGUUUGCACACACAAACUGGAAUGGGAAGGGGAAUAUAUGCACCGCCGUCGGCGAUUGAUUGACUCACCUGCAGAUUCCCUUGUUUCCUCCAACCGAUCGAUCACCGGUGGCUCUUUCUUGCUCCUUCUUGGCCUGCUUGCCUUGGUAUGAAAACUGAAGAAAGAACUGCUUCUAACUAUCUGCUGCUGAUCAAGAAGAAGCUAGCUGCUGGCUAUGUAAACAAGGGACUAACUCUAGCUGCUAGCUAUCCUAGUUCUCUUCCUGCAUGAGCAUGGCUGUUCUAGCUUUGGUGUAGUCCGAGGGAGAGGUAGGAGAAAGCUGCUGCUGUCUGGUUUGCACCAGCUGAAAUUAUAUGGAGAGGCACCGCACCGCACCGCACUGUACUCCUAAGAGAGAAGAGGGCGGGGUGGAAAUACGGGGAGCUAUAUAGGUGGAGGUAAAUGGAAAGGAGUGAGGGGGAGGUGCGUGCACUGCACUGGCCCGGUCGGUGGGAUUCAAUUUAAUUCGAACCCUCUUCCCUCUCUCUCCUUCUCAAGCUGUGUCUGUAAGCUGAACCGAGGAAGAAGAGGAUGGAUGGAGCUAGCACAUGAAGAGACAGAGAGAGAGCCAGAUUGGGAAGAGGAGGAGUAUAUUAUACUACUAGAGAGGAGAGGAGAGGAGAGGAGGCAGGCUGGAGCGGGGUGCGGAGGGGAUUAAGUUAUUGGUGGAGAACGUGACGGGUGGAAGGUAAACUAAACCCAGCAGCAGCUCCUUUGACGCCAGAUCGUCUGAGCAGCAGGAAAAGAAGGCGUUUCUGGGUCUCUGUCUGUGUGUAGGGUUUUUGGGUUUAGAAACGUUGGAGGACAGGCAGGAAGAGAGUGGAGGUCCACUACGUCGCCCAAUUCACUUACACACGACACGGCUGACUUAUCGGCACACCCCACACGCGCACACACGGCCGGAGAUGGAGGAAGACGAAAGGGACGUCGUCGUAGUAGUGCCAUAGUGGUAGGGUAUAUGCGUGCGCCGAGCUGGACGAACGCGACGACGGACGGGCGAGGCUCGUGCCAACAGCUCGUGCCAUAGUGGUAGGGUAUAUGCUGGCGUUUUUACUGCGCGCAGGAUACAGGGAGACCGGGUAGCCCGUCCGUCCGUCCGUUGUAAUAUUCCAUCGUCCAACGGAUUUAUACCAGUACUGCUUACUACUAAUCGUACGGUUUACGGGUGCGGUUAGGGGAGCGGUAAUUAGCAGCGACGACGACGACCGGUAGCAGUAGCAGCAGCAGUAAGUGGUGCAGGGAGAUCGGUGCGGUGGAGGGGGUCACACGGUAGGUGAGCCCUCUGCCCUCGCUGCUAGCUGUCCUCGCCCUCCACUUUCCUGUCGUGACGUUGAAGUUUCCUCCCCCUACCACUUUCUCAUUUUUUCUUCGCCACCAACAAAAACAAAAACCCCGCGGAAAAUGCUACUGGCACAAGUGAAACGCCACCUCAGAUUUUCUGAGAUUUUUCAUCCCCUCCCUGGCCCUAUCCUGUAUGUCCAUGCCUACACUGUGCGUACACAUGGCGUUGCACCCCUUGAUUGCGUGGCACGGGCGGAGGCCGAGAGGGACGGCCGCAGCACCACCGUGGAACCGGAGUGGUGGACCUCGCAGUCAGUCGCGGGCGCACGGACUUUUCGUCCUCCUGUUGUUCCACGCACGCCGCGGUCUGGCCGACGACGGCCACGGCUUCCUUCCUUGGACUGCGUGCUUGCCGUUGCCGCGUGUAGACGGGAGGAAGGAUCGCCGGCCGUAGGCCGUAGCAGCUAGCACACGGCCGCCGCUAGCGUCCAGGCGCGUCGCGGUUAGUGUGGCAGCUCCGGCGAAGCAUCGCCCGGCCGCCUAAAAAUCGGCAGCCGCGCGCCCUGGCAUCGCUGACCCGUAUCCUGUACGCAUCCCGCCCGUACGUACAUACGCACGAGCCGGGCGGGUGAGAGGCAGAGGCGGCCCGUGUCUCGGCUCGGCUACGUGCUCCGCAUUCGGUCUCGGUUCGGUCGCCGCUGGGCCGGCCGUGCAGGCUGGCUCGCUCGCUCGUGGCUCGCCUGCGCCUGCGCCUGCGGAAUUGGCUCCGGGGAUUGGGACGUGAGAGGGACGCGGGCCAGUUUUUUGCGCCAGUUUAUCUCGGUGCCCGGACGACGACGCGUUGACCCGGGAACGCCGGCUGGACGGGUGGAUUCCAAACUUUCGUCCAAUUCAGUUCACGAAUUUCCCUGCCUACUUGGCCAAACUCGAUCGAUCGCCUGCGUGGCGUGUUGCCUAACCCAUCCAUGGCCACCUAGUUAGCUGUACGGUUCGUCUCAACUGACCGAUCCAUCGAUUGAUCCAACUUUACCGAACUUGGUUAACUAAGACACCUCUAGAACUUACUACCACUAGCAUGGAUUGAUGAUAAUGCAUGAGUAGAAAAAUGCUACUAGCACGCAUGUGGUAACACAUAGCACUGACCAAUGGUUAGUUGAUGGCCUCUCCUAAUCAAAUAUUAUACUGACAAAUCGCCACCGAUCGGAUCAAGCGAGUCGAUGGACUGUGCUACUACUAGCUGGAGCAGCAGUAUUAUUCAUUCAUGCACGCAGGUGGGCGCUAAACAAACCCCCGUCCUGCACAUGCGAUUAAAUCGCACCGCACCAGAAAGAAAGAAGGAUCAAGCGUGAGAUUAAUCUCCGGAAAAGGGGAAAGGGGCCGAGCGAGGGAGGAGUAAAGUGACCGCACAACCGAUGGUUGUUCGGGCCUCGCUGCACCCGCAAAUCAUAUGACCGGACCCACACCGCUGCUCCGCUCCGGCCUCCUUUUCGAGCCAUCCCGGCCCAAAUCUUCUCCUCUGCUGCUGUGCUCCUGUGCGACUAACUUGGGUUGCACUCCUUGUUGUGUGCCCUUGCCUUCAGCUUUACUCUCCCUUUCGCUCGCUCACUCGAUCAGCUAGCUAGUCGCUGCCCGUACAUCGACCCCGGAGCUGAGCUGGCCGGCGGUGUGGGGUUGGGAACUCGGGAGCAUCCGCCCACGCCAACGUCGGCCGUCGGAAUUCAGAAAGUUGCUCGUGUGCGCCAUGCAUGUGUGUAAGGAAAAAAAAAUGGUGCUGGCCACCGACGGCCGGAUGGUGUUCGUGCGCAGCAAAGCGGGGUGAGGAUGUGACGGGUCGAUCAGCUUGUAACCAUCAGGCGGCGCGCGCACCAACCCGUCGAUCUCGUAUGAGCCCGUCACUUGGAUCGGUCGGUCGAUCGAUAGCUCUCAGUGUCAUUUCAUGGGUUUCUAGAACGAUGGCAUGCCCUUCUCCUUCCCUUCGCAUACAAACUAGCGCGUACAGUACAAAAGUUGUCGUGGAACGGAGGAGGCUAAACCCAGACAGUACCGGUGUGGUACAACAUGGCUGGCACCGGUACAAACGUACACACUGCACAUGUUGUCUCGGUCGCCUGGCGAGCUCCGGCCGGGCAAGGGCUGGGCGGACCGACAGGGAUUGAUUACGUUUGGUUUAGUUGCGCACCAGCUUACAGGACGGGGCGGGACCAUGGACGGAUCGUGCAUGCCAAUGGCAAUGGCAUUGCCGGGAGCUCUCAAUCGUGGUUAACUACCCGUUUGGUGCGUAGCAUUAGGGGCAGCCAACAAACAAAGUGCCCUCCUACUCUACUCGUCGUACGGGUUCCACGUGGCCAAGUGGAUCAUGCCGUCGCCAUUGCCACCCAUCGACCGAUCGAUCGAUCGAUCCACCAGCAUGCACAUGCGCGCGUCCUCUCCUCCCUCUCUCGGCAACCCCUGCUCUGCCCAGGGGAACUCGUACAGCCAGCCACAAUGUACUGUGCCUACAGUAUUAUUGGGGCUACUUAAUUAGCCGUGUCAUGUUGAGUAACUGGGUAAAUCUGGAUUGCAGGGAGCUUGGAUGGAUGCAUGAUGCCGUGGUGGGAGUAGGAGGGAGAAGCGACAAGGAGCACCGGGAUCUCUGACAGCCCCGGGAUAUACAACUCCUCCGGCCCUGCGCCGAUCCCGAGGAGUGCUGCGCGAAUUAUGAUUGCUGAACAUGCCCCUUGUGCUGCGCAGUUUAACUAACUACUCCUCCUCCUAACUAAUAAAGCUGUCACAGCGAGCAGGCAGGCCAAUCAUUUAUUCAAUGUACUGUGCUCGCCCGUGGAAGAUUCUGCCCGUAAGUGGGAGCAUUUUAGGCAGAGAAAGAAACGUAAUAAGUCAGUGAGGCGUACUGGUACCUCCCUCUCCCGGUACUUGAAACUUUUUGACUAAACGCACGAUUAAUCGGCGGUCAUUUACUAGUGGAUUAGGAAGAAAGAACGGCAAUUAAACAACAAAAGGACAUAUGAUCGACGGAUAAUGCACAAUGGGAAUUUUGUAAAAAUGUCUACUACUCUCUUCGAUCCAUAUCAACUGCCGCCGAUUUAGUACAUUUAAUAUGGAUCGGAGGGAGUAUCUUUGAUCAGAUUUGUGAAAAAAAAUGCGGAAAAUAUUGGAUUUGUAAAUUGAAAAUUAGGAAUUCAUUUCACUUUUUUGAUAAUUAUGCAUGUUAUUGACAGAAUUAAUGAGGAGCUACCUAUUUAAGUACUAUAAAAAUUAAGGGGAACCCACCGGGCAGGACAAGGCCAUGUGUCCGGGCCAUAUAAUACGGCGGUGCACUGGUGCUGCACACCAAGCAGCAGCACGCAAGCAAGCUAGCUAGCAACGCGGUCGCUCGCUCGAUCGAUCCAACCACCGGCCGGGUAAGAAGAGUAACAUGGGAUUAGCUAGUAAUUAACGUGCACUCUCAUGGCCUCAUCCCCAUCUAUCCAUGCGCCCGUGGCCGGCGAGAUCGAUCGAGGUGAGGUGAGCGGGAACAGACACGCUCCGGGCAUCAUGUUACGCAUCUUGGUGCUGCCUCACGCGAUCGACGGAUCGAUGGAUCGGGCAUUAUUAUUUUACGACUGCAUCAGUCGCUAGCGAGCUAGCUUUGCAUAUUAUAGGCGCCCAAAGCGCAUCUCAGAUCGAUCUAAAGUUAUUCUACCACGCACCGGCACCGCGAGGCCAGCGUUGCACCCGUUGAUUAGAUGAUUGAAAUGUUACAUCAGGUUUCACUGUCACUGUGACAGUAAGAAAGAGUAUAAAGACGGGAAAGAAUAUCGAUCGUUUUUUCUUUCAUGCCGCGCGAGGGGGAAAGGUAAAUCGUGAUGGAGUGUGUAUGUGUUGUAACUACCGAGACAAGAGACAUCCUAACAGAUUGCCAAGAUUUUCCUCUGAUUCCAUUGUGCAGCAAUUGUCGUUUCUGAUUUUUACUGUUUGAGCGGGCAGCCAGAAGAUUUUUUUUUUGUCGGGGGAGAGAUGAAGUGGAUGUUUCGUAGAAACUAAGCAUGCGCGCACUCGCACAUGGGUGAAGGUUAAAGACAAACCGGCCCAAAAUGCAUCCAUCAUGGCUUGAUACUCACACCACCCAAUCGCGCGCGCUUUAGUUCGAAUGGAGCAGACACCGAGGAGAUAAAAAACAUAGCACAUGCAUCAACCGGCCUCUCACUUGAGUUGGAGUAGUAGUAACUCUAAUCAGCUUGACACUGAUGGAUGGAUGGAUGUAUACUGCCUAAUUCCUAUACGUACAAAGGUACAAGUUGGUAAAAUAUUUAGUCAAAUCAGAAUUGUAUACACAGUGUUAACUAGUUAUGUGAUCUUUGUUGAAAAACAAUAAUUAUGUCCCACCUCCGGCCGGACGACGGAUGAGCAUGAGCGUGCAUGUGGUGCAAGCUCAGCAUGGCGCCGUGGUUGGUUGCUUGCCGGGUCGCUGGCUACCUCGUUGCAUGCAUGAGGCAGGGUGCGUGCGUGGAUGCUCAUCCGUCUCGCCACCUCGGCACCAUGUUGCCGUGGUCAGCGAGUGCAUGCGAUGCACAACAUUGAUACAGUCCGGUUCAAAGGCGAUCAUGCAUGGCAUGUGCUCACUGUACACAGGUUCCCUCUAUUAUACGCCAACCCAUACGCCACUUGUAGUUACCUAUGGCUGCAUUGACCGGGGCCUGAUUGCCUCGAGCAUAUACUUAAUUGCCUUGGACUAACUAACCCGAGAAAAUAGUACGUAUAAGAAGAAAAAAAUUGUAUACAUCAACGUUACUCCUGGUACUACUCCUUACCAAGUCGCCUGGUGAAGGGGUUUAAAUGGCUGUAAUUAUCAUGAUGUCAGUGUGUGUUUACGAAUUACGAGGAGGAUUCGAUAGGUUGACCCUGGUAGUAUUUUUUUUUUGAAAAAAAAGUAGUAAAUGAGAAGGACGGGAUCCGAUGUUUAUUACUCCGUCAAACACACACACAAGGUUGAAGCGGUAACAAAAUUUGCGCGUCGCACGUACCUUCCUCUUGCUACCAUUGCCAUGUGAUGCAGGCACGUCAAGUGGAUCGUGUGCUCGCUUUGCUUUCUUUAUCAGCUCCUUUCCUUUUCAUUUCAUUCUAUGAUUUCUCUCGAUUUUAUCCAACUUUGAACAGGGUCUACAUUCUUAUAAUUUAUUUCUUUCGAGUUUGAUGUGCCCGGUCUCUUUUGGGCUAAGCCAGGUCGAUCGUGUGUGUAUUCUAAUGGUCGUAUUUGACCGUAUAAACUAGUGUGUACAGCUGCGAUCUGGAGGUUUAUUUGGGCUUUCCUUUUUCCUUUCUGAAGGAUACAUAGCUUGAGAAGGAAGUGAUCGAGCACCAACUUGAGCCGAGGUUUCGGACUCUGGCGCGGGAGGGACCGCAAGGGGUUCCCAUGCUAGGCGUGGGACAAGGUGUGUAACUGACAUGGAGCUCAAGACUUCAUUGGAUGGGAAUUUUGGCAGAUGGCAGCCACUAUCCCGUGUCUUGCAGCCUAGAAGGUUCUAUUUGUGGGAUCCACGGCAGCAACAACGCAGACACCAGUUUGGGAACCCUGCGUGUUUAAGGAAAUGCUUGGCUUGUCGUAUAAACCAUGCAUUUGAUGGCGAACUGACUCGAGCGUCACCCAUGGCCAAAUUGUGAUCUUUGUCAUCUUGCAAGUGGGAACCAAAAAUAGUGGUAGGUCUUCUUUACAAAUGUGUGUUUGAAUGAAUACAUGAGCUUUGCGGGAAUUUUGAGGAGUUUUGCUUGGUGUUCACGGCGAGGGAAGCAAAUGAACUAGCGUGUCUCUGCACGAGUGUAACUCCUCUAGGAGACGAUGCUUGUGAACUAACUAUACCCCGUCCUUCCUUGCGAUGUAAUGAAGGAAUGUAAUCCCGCUAUAUGAUCAAUAAAUCUCUUCAUUCUAAAAAAAGGAUGUGUGGUUAAUAAAACAAGAAAUAAGCCACCGUUCAAAGUUUGAUAAAAUCUACACUACGUGUAAUGUCGUCAAUUAGCAACGUCAUUGUAGAAAUGUUCUCUGUCCUUUGGUCAUGUUUUCCUCUUUGAGAAACUUCGAACAGCUGCAAUGCCUAUAUUUUCAGAGUCUUGUAUGCCUUGGUCAUUGUUGCAAAAUUUAGAAAGGAAAAGGCAAAUUGAGUCGUAGCAGGAGCCAAUAAUUCGAUUAAUGUUCUCCAAUGAGAGCAUCCUUGUAUUUUCCGUCACAUGGAUAUUCACAUGAAUAACUCAGUUGCAAUCCGAUACCAAUAUUUGUUGGACAGGAAACUUACUCGCGUUCUUUGGCAUGCUAACAAAAGGAGACUACAUGAAAAUUCAAGAGAACUAAACCAAGUUCGUCGUAAAUCAGUCACAAGAGAGAAAGACAAAAUUAUACUCAUUCCAUCCCAAAAUGUAACACCUAAUUGGUUUGUUCCUAAGUAAAAAAAUUAAAGUUUGGCCAGGUUUAUUGAAGCACAUGUUAACAUUUAGAAAAUGAAAUCAAUAUCAAUAGAUAAUCAUGAAAUAACUAUUUCUAUAAACCCAAUUAAACUUGUUUUGGCAGAAAUAAACCCAAUAAAACUUAAGAAACAUUGACUUGGAGAUAACAAGUAGGACCUAUGUUUUGAUAUGGAGUAUGUUCCGUCAUGCUAACCCUAGAUGCCAAAAGCUUGGGUGGAAGGUACAAGCAAUGUUGGGGAACGUAGCAUGCAAUUUCAAAAAAAUUCCUACGCUCACGCAAGAUCAAUCUAGGAGAUGCAUAUCAACGAGAGGGGGAGAGUGUGUCCACGUACCCUCGUAGACCGAAAGCGGAAGCGUUUGUUAACGCGGUUGAUGUAGUCGAACUUCUUCACGUUCCGACCGAUCAAGCACCGAAAGUACGACACCACCGAGUUCUGCACACGUUCAGCUCGAUGACGUCCCUUGAACUCUUGAUCCAGCAAAGUGUUGAGGGAGAGUUCCAUCAGCACGACGGCGUGGUGACGGUGAUGGUGAAGUUAUCCGCGCAGGGCUUCGCCUAAGCACUACGUGAAUAUGACCGGAGGCGUAAACUGUGGAGGGGGGCGCUGCACACGGCUUGGAACAAUUGUGUGUCUUAGAGGCGCCCCCACCCCCGUAUAUAAAGGAGGGAGAGGGGAGGAGGCCGCCCCUAGGAGCGCCCCAAGUGGGAGGAGUCCCACUUGGGCUCCUAGUAGGAUUCAACCCCCCUUCCUUUUAUCGGNNNNNNNNNNNNNNNNNNNNNNNNNNNNNNNNNNNNNNNNNNNNNNNNNNNNNNNNNNNNNNNNNNNNNNNNNNNNNNNNNNNNNNNNNNNNNNNNNNNNNNNNNNNNNNNNNNNNNNNNNNNNNNNNNNNNNNNNNNNNNNNNNNNNNNNNNNNNNNNNNNNNNNNNNNNNNNNNNNNNNNNNNNNNNNNNNNNNNNNNNNNNNNNNNNNNNNNNNNNNNNNNNNNNNNNNNNNNNNNNNNNNNNNNNNNNNNNNUUCCACCGGGGGGUUCCGAUAACCCCUCCGGUACUCCGAUAUGUACCCGAUACACUCCGGAACACUUCUGGUGUCCGAAUACUAUCAUCCAAUAUAUCAAUCUUUACCUCUCGACCAUUUUGAGACUCCUUGUCAUGUCCGUGAUCUCAUCCGGGACUCCGAACAAAAUUCGUUCACCAAAUCACAUAACUCAUAAUACAAAUCGUCAUCGAACGUUAAGCAUGCGGACCCUACAGGUUCGAGAACUAUGUAGACAUGACCGAGACACUUCUCCGGUCAAUAACCAAUAGCGGAACCUGGAUGCUCCUAUUGGUUCCUACAUACUCUACGAAGGUCUUUAUCGGUCAAACCGUAAUGACAACAUACGUCAUUCACUUUGUCAUCGGUAUGUUGCUUGCCCAAGAUUCGAUCGUCAGUAUCUUCAUACCUAGUUCAAUCUCGUUACUGGCAAGUCUCUUUACUCGUUCCGUAAUGCAUCAUCCCGUAACUAACUCAUUAGUCACAUUGCUUCUAAGGCUUAUUAUGAUGUGCAUUACCGAGAGGGCCAACAGACACCUCUCCGAUACUCGGAGUGACAAAUCCUAAUCUCGAUCUAUGCCAACCCAACAAAACACCUGCGGAGAUACCUGUAGAACAUCUUUAUAAUCACCCAGUUACGUUGUGACGUUUGAUAGCACACAAGGUAUUCCUCCGGUAUCCGGGAGUUGCAUAAUCUCGUAGUAAAAGAAAUAUGUAUAAGUCAUGAAUAAAACAAUAGCAAUAAAACUUAACAAUCACUAUGCUAAGCUAACGGAUGGGUCUUGUCCAUCACAUCAUUCUCCUAAUGAUGUGAUCCCAUUCAUCAAAUGACAACACAUGUCUAUGGUUAGGAAACUUAACCAUCUUUGAUUAAAGAUCUAGUCUAGUAGAGGCUUACUAGGGACACUGCGUUUUGUCUAUGUAUCCACGCAUAUAUCAAGUUUCCGGUUAAUACAAUUCUAGCAUGAAUAAUAGAUAUUUAUCACGAUAUAAGGAAAUAUAAAUAAUAACUUUAUUAUUGCCUCUAGGGCAUAUUUCCUUCAGUCUCCCACUUGCACUAGAGUCAAUAAUCUAGUUCACAUCGCCAUGUGAUUUAACACCAAUAGUUCACAUCACCAUGUGAUUAACGCACAUAGUUCACAUCGCCAUGUGACCAACACCCAAAGGGUUACUAGAGUCAAUAAUCUAGUUCACAUUGCCAUGUGAUUAACACCCAAAGAGUACUAAGAUGUGAUCAUGUUUUGCUUGUGAGAGAAAUUUAGUUAACGGGUCUGCCACAUUCAGAUCCGUAUGUAUUUUGCAAAUUUCUAUGUCUACAAUGCUCUGCAUGGAGCUACUCUAGCUAAUUGCUCCCACUUUCAAUAUAUAUCCAGAUUGAGACUCAGAGUCAUCCAGAUCGGUGUUAAAGCUUGCAUCGACGUAACUCUUUACGAUGAACUCUUUAUCACCUCCAUAACCGAGAAAUAUUUCCUUAGUCCUCUAAGGAUAAUUUUGACCGCUGUCCAGUGAUCUACUCCUGGAUCACUAUUGCCCUUUGCCAAACUCAUGACAAGGUACACAAUAGGUCUGGUAUACAUCAUGGCAUACUUUAUAGAACCUAUGGCUGAGGCAUAGGGAAUGACUUUCAUUCUCUCUCUAUCUUCUGCCGUGGUCGGGUUUUGAGUCUAACUCAACUUCAUACCUUACAACUCAGGCAAGAACUCCUUCUUUGACUAUUCCAUUUUGAACUCCUUCAAAAUCUUAUCAAGGUAUGUACUCAUCGAAAGUCUUAUCAAGCGUCUUGAUCUAUCUUUAUAGAUCUUGAUGCCCUGUGACGCCCGGAUAAUUAAGCUACAGUAACCCUCUGCCAAUGAUGCCACGUCACCUCGAUUACUGUUGCUAAUAUCGCGUUAGUUCAAAACCGAUUCAAAUUCAAAAUUGAAUUAAAGUCAAAUGGUAAAGAUUUUCAAAUAUUAAAACUAAAAUGUUGGGGUGUUGCCAAAUAAUGCAUAGGUAAUUAUUGUGGAGAAACCACAUUUUUAUAAAAGGUUUAAAUGCACUUAAAUGAUUAAAACAGUAGGUAAAACUAUUAAAUAAAUGCCUUUGAUAUUUUAUAAAAUCAUAAACUAUUUUAUUUUGAGGUAAAACUUUUUAGGGUAGUGGGUUGUUUUGAAACACUAAUUUGGAGCUAUUGUCAUAUUUUACUAAACUAAGAAUAAAGUGUAACUAAAAUAAAACAGAAAAGGAAAAAGAAUAAAAAGAAAAGAAAACCAGAAAACAAAAUAAAAGGAAAAAAAAGCCCCCUUGGCCAACCGGGCCAGACGGCCCAGCCGGCUAGCCCACUGGCCCAAGCCGGCCCCCCACUCACCUUAUCCUCCCCGUCCCGAAACCCUAACCACCCCGACCGCACACUGCCCCCCCACUCCCCACGUCUCUCCCCUCCCGAUCCGAUCUGGAUCGGGGACGAACUGCUUCCCCCCUCUCUCGCGACGCCGCGCCCCAUCGCUCGCCGUCGCCGCCGNNNNNNNNNNNNNNNNNNNNNNNNNNNNNNNNNNNNNNNNNNNNNNNNNNNNNNNNNNNNNNNNNNNNNNNNNNNNNNNNNNNNNNNNNNNNNNNNNNNNNNNNNNNNNNNNNNNNNNNNNNNNNNNNNNNNNNNNNNNNNNNNNNNNNNNNNNNNNNNNNNNNNNNNNNNNNNNNNNNNNNNNNNNNNNNNNNNNNNNNNNNNNNNNNNNNNNNNNNNNNNNNNNNNNNNNNNNNNNNNNNNNNNNNNNNNNNNNNNNNNNNNNNNNNNNNNNNNNNNNNNNNNNNNNNNNNNNNNNNNNNNNNNNNNNNNNNNNNNNNNNNNNNNNNNNNNNNNNNNNNNNNNNNNNNNNNNNNNNNNNNNNNNNNNNNNNNNNNNNNNNNNNNNNNNNGGCGACGACCCCCCUCCCUUGCGCCCGUGCCACGGCCUCCUCCUCACCGGACCCCGCCACCGCCCGUCGCCUCGUCCUCCUCGUCUCCUCCUCGCCGACGACGCAUCCUCGUCCUCCUCCCCAAAGGCUCCACCGAGCCUCGCCGCCCCCUGCUCACCAACGCAGGCGAGGACCCCGGUCCUCCUCCUCCCCGUGCCCUCACGCCGGCGCUCACCCGCGCGCCCCAGCACGCGCCCGUCUCUGCGCGUCGCUAUGCCCGACCAUGGCCUUUCCUAGUGCCCCCUUGCUCCGCAUCUUGCCGCCACCACCGGGCCGCGUCUGCUUCCGCCCGGGCGCGCUCGACUCCCCUCGUCCCUUCCCGCGGCUGCCUUGGCCGAAGCCCGCCGCCGCUCGGCCGACCACUUCCGCUCGCCGCCUGUGUUGCGGCCGGCGCCUCGCGGUCCUACGUGGCCUCGCCGUGGCCGCGAACCUCCACCGUGCCCGCUGGCCCUAGUCGGGUCCGCCCCGCCUCGUGCGUUCGGGCAGCACCAUGCGCCCGUGAACCCGGCGCCCGCAAGGCCCUGGGCCAUUUACACGCGGGCCCCAGCGCCCAGAACGUCUAUUAAAAAAAGAGAAAAGAAUAAAAAAUUAAUAAAUAAAAAUAAAAAUGAAUUAAUAAAAUUAAUAAUUAAUUAAUUGAUUAAUCAAGUUAAUUAAUCAUGUUUAAUUAAUCUAAUUAACUAGUUAGUUUAAUUAAACAGUAAUUAGUUUAGCUAAUUCCUAAUUAACCUAAGCAGAGUAUGACAGGUGGGUCCCGCACAUCAGAUUGACCCAGUCAACACCUUUGUUGACUGCUGACGUCAUGCUGAUGUCAUGAUGACGUCAGCAUGCACUAUUCUGGAUGAUGUUGAAUUAAAUUAAUUAAAUAAAUACUAAAAAUGAUUUAAAACUUUGAAAAUUAAUAUAAAAUAAUCCGUAACUCGGAUGAAAAUACUUUGUACAUGGAAGUUGCUCAGAACGCGAGACGAAUCCGGAUACGCAACCCGUUCGUCUGCCACACAUCCCUAGCAUAGCAAACACACAACUUUCCCCCUCCAGUUCAUCUGUUCGAAAACGCGAAACACCGGGGAUAUUUUCCUGGAUGUUUCCCCCCUUCACCGGUAUCACCUCAUACCACGUUAGAACACGUCUAGCUCUGCUUGUUGUCCUGUUAUGCACUUGCUUGCUAUGUAUUUACUGUUUCUUCCCCCUCUUCUCUUUGGUAGACCCCGUGACGAUGUUGAUGCCCCUGUGGUUGACUACGUCACCGACGACCCCUCCUUCUUCUGAGCAACCAGGCAAGCCCCCCCCCUUGAUCACCAGAUAUCGCCUAUUCUUCUCUAUACUGCUUGCAUUAGAGUAGUGUAGCAUGUUACUGCUUUCGGUUAAUCCUAUUCUGUUGCAUAGCCUCUCAUUGUUGCUACAGUUGUUACCCUUACCUUCUAUCCUACUGCUUAGAAUAGGAUGCUAGUUUUUCCAUUAGUGGCCCUACAUUCUUGUCCGUCUGCCAUGCUAUACUACUGGGCCGUGAUCACUGCGGGAGGUGAUCACGGGUAUAUACUAUAUACUUUAUACAUGAUACAUGUGGUGACUAGAGUCUGGUCGCCUCGAGGAGUACCCGCAAGUGAUUCUGAUGAGGGGGCUGAAAGGACAGGUGGCUCCAUCUCGGUAGAGGUGGGCCUGGGUUCCUGACGGCCCCCGACUGUUACUUUGUGGCGGAGCGACAGGGCGGGUUGAGACCACCUAGGAGAGAGGUGGGCCUGGCUCUGGUCGACGUCCGCGGAUACUUAAUAAUAACAUGCUUAAUGAGUUCUUGGUAUUUGAUCUGAGUCUGGCCAUUUGGUCUAUACGCACUAACCAACUACGCGGGAACAGUUAUGGGCACUCGGCAUCGUGGUAUCAGCCGAAGCUCUUUUUGACGUCAGCGACUGAGUGGCGCGCGCCGCAUUGGACCAUAAGCUCGCGCUUGUAUUAAGGGGGCUAGGUCUGCUUCCGGCUGCGUACGCAACGUGCAGGUGUGCAAUGGGCAAUGGGCCCAGACCCCUGCGUGCAUAGGAUUUAGACCGGCGUGCUGACCUCUCUGUUGAGCCUAGGUGGGGCUGCGACGUGUUGAUCUUCCGAGGCCGAGCAUGACCCAGGAAAGUGUGUCCGGCCAAAUGGGAUCGAGCGUGUUGGGUUAUGUGGUGCACCCCUGCAGGGAAGUUUAUCUAUUCGAAUAGCCGUGUCCCUCGGUAAAAGGACGACCCGGAGUUGUACCUUGACCUUAUGACAACUAGAACCGGAUACUUAAUAAAACACACCCUUCCUAGUGCGAGAUAUAACCCGGUGAUCGCUCUCUAACAGGGAGACGAGGAGGGGAUCGCCGGGUAGGAUUAUGCUAUGCGAUGCUACUUGGUGAACUUACCAUCUACUCUCUUCUACAUGCUGCAAGAUGGAGGUGGCCAGAAGCGUAGUCUUCGACAGGAUUAGCUAUCCCCCUCUUAUUCUGGCAUUCUGCAGUGCAGUCCACCGAUAUGGCCCUUUACACAUACACCCAUGCAUAUGUAGUGUAGCUCCUUGCUUGCGAGUACUUUGGAUGAGUACUCACGGUUGCUUUUCUCCCUCUUUUCCCCCUUUCCUUUCUACCUGGUUGUCGCAACCAGAUGCUGGAGCCCAAGAGCCAGACGCCACCGUCGACGACGACUCCUACUACACCGGAGGUGCCUACUACUACGUGCAGGCCGCUGACGACGACCAUGAGUAGUUUAGGAGGAUCCCAGGCAGGAGGCCAGUGCCUCUUUCGAUCUGUAUCCCAGUUUGUGCUAGCCUUCUUAAGGCAAACUUGUUUAACUAAUGUCUGUACUCAGAUAUUGUUGCUUCCGCUGACUCGUCUAUGAUCGAGCACUUGUAUUCGAGCCCUCGAGGCCCCUGGCUUGUAUUAUGAUGCUUGUAUGACUUAUUUAUGUUGUAGAGUUGUGUUGUGAUAUCUUCCCGUGAGUCCCUGAUCUUGAUCGUACACAUUUGCGUGCAUGAUUAGUGUACGGUCAAAUUGGGGGCGUCACAUGCCCAAUAUGUAAGUAGCUUCACCGAGGUCUUUCUUUGAAAAACUCCUUUAAAACACUCCUUUAUUCUUUCAAGAAAAUUCUACAUCAUUUCCGAUCAACAAUAUGUCAUUCACAUUUACUUAUCAGAAAGGUUGUAGUGCUCCCACUCACUUUCUUGUAAAUACAGGCUUCACCGCAAGUCUGUAUAAAACUAUAUGCUUUGAUCAACUCAUAAAGCGUAUAUUCCAACUCGGAGAUGCUUGCACCAGUCCAUAGUGGAUCGCUGGAGCUUGCACACUUUGUUAGCACCUUUAGGAUUGCGAAAACCUUCUGGCUGCACCAUAUACAACUCUACUUUAAUAAAUACAUUAAGGAAUGCAGUUUUGACAUCCAUUUGCCACAUUUCAUAAAAUGCGGCAAUUUCUAACAUGAUUUGGACAGACUUUAAGCAUUGAUACGAGUGAGAAAAUCUCAUCGUAGUCAACACCUUGAACUUGUCGAAAACCUUUUGCGACAAUUCGAGCUUUGUAGAUAGUAACACUACUAUCAGCGUCCGUCUUCCUCUUGAAGAUCCAUUUAUUCUCAAUGGCUCGCCGAUCAUCGGGCAAGUCAAUCAAAGUCCAUACUUUGUUCUCAUACAUGGAUCCUAUCUAAGAUUUUCUGGCCUCAAGCCAUUUAUCGGAAUCUGGGCUCAUCAUCGCUUUCUCAUAGUUCGUAGGUUCGUCAUGGUCUAGUAACAUGACUUCCAGAACAGGAUUACCGUACCACUCUGGUGCGAAACGUGCUCUGGUUGACCUACGAGGUUCGGUAGUAACUUGAUCCAAAGUUUCAUGAUCAUUAUCAUUAGCUUCCUCACUAGUUGGUGUAGGCAUCACGGGAACGGUUUUCUGUGAUGAGCUACUUUCCAAUUCAAGAGAAGGUACAAUUACCUCAUCAAUUUCUACUUUCCUCCCACUCACUUCUUUCAAGAGAAACUCCUUCUCUAGAAAGGAUCCAUUCUUAGCAACAAAGAUCUUGCCUUCGGAUCUGUGAUAGAAGGUGUACCUGUUGGGGAACGCAGUAAUUUCAAAAAAAUUCCUACGCACACGCAAGAUCCAUCAAGGUGAUGCAUAACAAUGAGAGCAGAGAGUGUUGUCCAUGUACCCUCGUAGACCGUAAGCGGAAGCGUUAUGACAACGUGGUUGACGUAGUCGUACGUCUUCACGAUCCGACCGAUCCUAGCACCGAAGGUACGACACCUCCGCGAUCUGCACACGUUCAGCUCGGCGACGUCCCAUGAACUCUAGAUCCAGCUGAGGUCGAGGGAGAGUUUCUUCAGCACCACGGCGUGAUGACGGUGAUGAUGAAGCUACCGGCGCAGGGCUUUGCCUAAGCACUACAAUGAUAUGACUGAGGUGGAAAUCUGUGGAGCGGGGCACCGCACACGGCUAAACAAUCAACUUGUGUGUCUAUGGGGUGCCCCCUCCCCCGUAUAUAAAGGAGUGGAGGAGGGGGAGGGCCGGCCCUCUCAUGGCGCGCCCAAGGGGGGAGUCCUACUCCCGGUGGGAGUAGGAAUCCCCCUUCCCUAGUUGGAGUAGGAGAGGAAGGAAGGAGGAGAGAGGGAGAAGGAAAGGGGGGCCGCCCCCCACCCCAAUUCAGAUUGGGCUUGGGGGGUGGGCACCUUAGCCUCCUCCUCCUCUUUUCCACUAAGGCCCAAUAAGGCCCAUNNNNNNNNNNNNNNNNNNNNNNNNNNNNNNNNNNNNNNNNNNNNNNNNNNNNNNNNNNNNNNNNNNNNNNNNNNNNNNNNNNNNNNNNNNNNNNNNNNNNNNNNNNNNNNNNNNNNNNNNNNNNNNNNNNNNNNNNNNNNNNNNNNNNNNNNNNNNNNNNNNNNNNNNNNNNNNNNNNNNNNNNNNNNNNNNNNNCCGAACUCACCCGGAACCAUUCCAAUGUCCAAACAUAGCCUUCCAAUAUAUCGAUCUUUAUGUCUCGACCAUUUCGAGACUCCUCGUCAUGUCUGUGAUCAUAUCCGGGACUCCGAACUACCUACGAUACAUCAAAACACAUAAACUCAUAAUACCGAUCAUCACCAAACGUUAAGCAUGCGGACCCUACGGGUUCGAGAACUAUGUAUACAUGACCGAGAGUCAUCUCCGGUCAAUAACCAAUAGGGUAACCUGGAUGCUCAUAUUGGUUCCAACAUAUUCUACGAAGAUCUUUAUCGGUCAAACCGCAUAACAACAUACGUUGUUCCCUUUGUCAUUGGUAUGUUACUUGCCCGAGAUUCGAUCGUCGGUAUCUCAAUACCUAGUUCAAUCUCGUUACCGGCAAGUCUCUUUACUCGUUCCGCAAUGCAUCAUCCCGCAACUAGCUCAUUAGUCACAUUUCUUGCAAGGUUUAUAGUGAUGUGCAUUACCGAGAGGGCCCAGAGAUACCUCUCCGACAAUCGGAGUGACAAAUCCUAAUAUCGAUCUAUGCCAACUCAACAAACACCAUCGGAGACACCUGUAGAGCAUCUUUAUAAUCACCCAGUUACGUUGUGAUGUUUGAUAGCACACUAAGUGUUCCUCCGUUAUUCGGGAGUUGCAUAAUCUCAUAGUCAUAGGAACAUGUAUAAGUUAUGGAGAAAGCAAUAUCAAUAAACUAAACGAUCAUAGUGCUAAGCUAACGGAUGGGUCAAGUCAAUCACAUCAUCCUCUAAUGAUGUGAUCCCGUUUAUCAAAUGACAACUCUUUGUCUAUGGCUAGGAAACUUAACCAUCUUUGAUUAACGAGCUAGUCAAGUAGAGGCAUACUAGUGACACGCUGUUUGUCUAUGUAUUCACACAUGUACUAAGUUUCCUGUUAAUACAAUUCUAGCAUGAAUAAUAAACAUUUAUCAUGAUAUAAGGAAAUAUAAAUAACAACUUGCAUUAGAGUCAAUAAUCUAGAUUACAUUGUAAUGAUUCUAACACCCAUGGAGUCUUGGUGCCGAUCUUGUUUUGCAAGUGAGAGAGGCUUCGUCAAUGGGUCUGCAACAUUCAGAUCCGUAUGUGUCUUGCAAAUCUCUAUGUCUCCCUCCUUGACUUGGUCGUGGAUGGAAUUGAAGCGUCUCUUGAUGUGCUUGGUUCUCUUGUGAAAUCUGGAUUCCUUUGCCAAGGCAAUUGCACAAGCAUUGUCACAAAAGAUUUUCAUUGGACCCGAUGCACUAGGUAUGACACCUAGAUCGGAUAUGAACUCCUUCAUCCAGACUCCUUCAUUUGCUGCUUCCAAAGCAGCUAUGUACUCCGCUUCACACGUAGAUCCCGCCACGACGCUCUGCUUGGAACUGCACCAACUGACAGCUCCACCAUUUAAUAAAAAUACGUAUCCGGUUUGUGACUUAGAGUCAUCCGGAUCAGUGUCAAAGCUUGCAUCGACGUAACCGUUUACGACGAGCUCUUUGUCACCUCCAUAAACGGAAAACAUAUCCUUAGUCCUUUUCAGGUAUUUUAGGAUGUUCUUGACCGCUAUCCAGUGAUCCACUCCUGGAUUACUUUGGUACCUCCCUGCUAUACUAAUAGCAAGGCACACAUCAGGUCUGGUACACAACAUUGCAUACAUGAUAGAACCUAUGGCUGAAGCAUAGGGAAUGACCUUCAUUUUCUCUCUAUCUUCUGCAGUGGUCGGGCAUUGAGUCUGACUCAAUUUCACACCUUGUAACACAUGCAAGAACCCCUUCUUUGCUUGAUCCAUUUUGAACUUCUUCAAAACUUUAUCAAGGUAUGUGCUUUGUGAAAGUCCAAUUAAGCGUCUUGAUCUAUCUCUAUAGAUCUUGAUGCCCAAUAUAUAAGCAGCUUCUCCGAGGUCUUUCAUUGAAAAAUUCUUAUUCAAGUAUCCUUUUAUGCUAUUCAGAAAUUCAGUAUCAUUUCCGAUCAACAAUAUGUCAUCCACAUAUAAUAUUAGAAAUGCUACAGGGCUCCCACUCACUUUCUUGUAAAUACAGGUUUCUCCAAAAGUCUGUAUAAAACCAUAUGCUUUGAUCACACUAUCAAAGCGUAUAUUCCAACUCCGAGAGGCUUGAACCAGUCCAUAAAUGGAUCGCUGGAGCUUGCACACUUUGUUAGCACCUUUUGGAUUGACAAAACCUUCUGGUUGCAUCAUAUACAACUCUUCUUUAAGAUAUCCAUUAACGAAUGCAGUUUUGACAUCCAUUUGCCAAAUUUCAUAAUCAUAAAAUGCGGUAAUUGCUAACAUGAUUCGGACGGACUUAAGCAUCGCUACGAGUGAGAAGGUCUCAUCGUAGUCAACUCCUUGAACUUGUCGAAAACCUUUCGCAACAAGUCGAGCUUUGUAGACAGUAACAUUACCGUCAGCGUCAGUCUUCUUCUUGAAUAUCCAUUUAUUCUCUAUGGCUUGCCGAUCAUCGGGCAACAGUCAACCAAAGUCCACGCUUUGUUCUCAUACAUGGAUCCCAUCUCAGAUUUCAUGGCCUCAAUCCAUUUUGCGGAAUCUGGGCUCAUCAUUGAUACGUCUCCAACGUAUCUAUAAUUUAUGAAGUAUUCAUGCUAUUAUAUUAUCCAUCUUAGAUGUUUUAUAUGCAUUUAUAUGCUAUUUUAUAUGAUUUUUGGGACUAACCUGUUGCUACCUCUUGAGCACUGCGUUGGUUUCCCUUGAAGAGAAAAGGGUGAUGCAGUAAAGUAGCGUAAGUAUUUCCCUCAGUUUUUGAGAACCAAGGUAUCAAUCCAGUAGGAGACCACGCGUGAGUCCCACGCACCUACACAAACAAAUAAGAACCUCGCAACCAACGCGAUAAAGGGGUUGUCAAUCCCUUCACGGUCACUUACGAGAGUGAGAUCUAAUAGAUAUGAUAAGAUAAUAUUUUUGGUAUUUUUAUGAUAAAGAGUAAAAGUAAAGAUCGCAAAACUAAACGGCGCUAGAAAUAACUAAGUGUUGGAAGAUUAAUUAUGAUGGAAAAUAGACCCUGGGGCCAUAGGUUUCACUAGUGGCUUCUCUCAAGAGCAUAAGUAUUACGGUGGGUAAACGAAUUACUAUCGAGCAAUUGAUAGAAUUGAGCAUAGUUAUGAGAAUAUCUAGGUAUGAUCAUGUAUAUAGGCAUCACGCCCGCAACAAGUAGAACGAAACGAUUCUGCAUCUACUACUAUUACUCCACACAUCGACCGCUAUCCAGCAUGCAUCUAGAGUAUUAAGUUCGUAAGAACAGAGUAAUGCUUUAAGUAAGAUGACAUGAUGUAGAGGGAUAAACUCAUGAAAUAUGAUAUAAACCCCAUCUUUUUAUCCUCGAUGGCAACAAUACAAUACGUGUCGUUUUCCUUUCUGUCACUAGGAUCGAGCACCGCAAGAUUGAACCCAAAGCUAAGCACUUCUCCCAUUGCAAGAAAGAUCAAUCUAGUUGGCCAAACCAAACUGAUAAUUCGAAGAGACUUGCAAAGAUAACCAAUCAUACAUAAAAGAAUUCAGAGGAGAUUCAAAUAUUGUUCAUAGAUAAACUUGAUCAUAAACCCACAAUUCAUCGGAUCUCGACAAGCACACCGCAAAAGAAGAUUACAUCGAAUAGAUCUACAAGAAGGUCGAGGAGAACUUUGUAUUGUGAUCCAAAGAGAGAGAAUAAGCCAUCUAGCUAAUUACUAUGGAACCGAAGGUCUGAGGUAAACUACUCACACAUCAUCGGAGAGGCUAUGGUGUUGAUGUAGAAGCCCUCUGUGAUCGAUGCCCCCUCCGGCGGAGCGCCGGAAAAGGCCCCAAGAUGGGAUCUCACGGGUACAGAAGGUUGCGGCGGUGGAAAUAGGGUUUUGGCUCUGUAUAUGAUGUUUCCAGGGUACGUAGGUAUAUAUAGGAGGAAGAAGUACAUCAGUGGAGCAACGAGGGGCCCACGAGGGUGGAGGGCGCGCCUGGGGGGGGGGGGGUAGGCGCGCUCCCCUGCCUCGUGCCUUCCUCGUUGAUUACUUUACGUAGACUCCAAGUCCUCUAGAUCACGUUUGUUCCGAAAAUCACGUUCCCGAAGGUUUCAUUCUGUUUGGACUCUGUUUGAUAUCCUUUUCCUUCGAAACACUGAAAUAGGCAAAAAACAGCAAUCUGGGCAGGGCCUCCGGUUAAUAGGUUAGUCCCAAAAAAUAAUAUAAAAGUGUAUAAUAAAGCCCAAUAAACAUCUAAAACAGAAUAUAAUAUAGCAUGGAACAAUAAAAAAUUAUAGAUAUGUUGGAGACGUAUCACCUAUUAACCUAGAGCCCAGUGCCAGUUUCUGUUUUUUUCCUUAUUUUUGAGUUUUACAGAAAAGGAAUACCAAACGGAGUCCAAUUGACGUGCCAAUUUUUGUUGAUUUUUUAUGGACCAAAAGAAACCCCUGGAGCAAAAGAGUUGGGCCAGAGAGUCCCGGGCUGUCCACGAGGGUGGGGGGCGCGCCCACCCCCCUGGGCAUGGGCCCCUGCCUCGUGGACGACUCGGAGACCCCCCUGACGUGAAACCAACGCCAAAAAUUCCUAUAAAUACAGAAACCCCCAGAAAAUAACCUAGAUCCGAAGUUCCGCCGCCGCAAGCCUCUGUAGCCACGAGAAAUCAAUCUAGGCCCUCUCUGGCACCCUGCCGGAGGGGGCCAUCAUCACCGGAGGCCAUGGAGGAGGAUCCCGGAGGGGCCAUCAUCGCCAUGAAGGCCAAGGACCAGAGGGAGAACCACUCCCCAUCUAGGGGGGAGGCCAUGGAGGAGGAAGCACAAGGGGGAGAACCUCUCCUCCUCUCUCUCGGUGGCAUCGGAGUGCCAUCGGGAGGGGAAUCAUCGUCGCGGUGAUUGUCUUCAUCAACAUCACCAUCAUCAUCACCAUCCUCAUCUAUUUCACGCGGUCCACUCUCCCGCACCCCGCUGUAAUCUCUACUUGAACAUGGUGCUUUAUGCCACAUAUUGUGAUCCAAUGAUGCGUUGCCAUCCUAUGAUGUUUUGAGUAGAUAUCCUUUGUCUUUGGGUUGAUUGAUGAUCUAGAUUGGUACGAGUUGUAUAUUGUAUUUUGGUGCUGUCCUAUUGUGCCCUCCGUGUCGCGCAAGCGUGAGGGAUUCCCGCUGUAGGGUGUUGCAAUACGUUUAUGAUUCGCUUAUAGUGGGUUGUUUGAGUGACAGAAGCAUAAACCCGAGUAAGGGGGUUGUUGCGUAUGGGAUAAAGGGGACUUGAUGGUUCAAUGCUAUGGUUGGGUUUUACCUUAAUGAUCUUUAGUAGUUGCAGAUGCUUGCUAGAGUUCCAAUCAUAAGUGCAUAUGAUCCAAGAAGAGAAAGUAUGUUAGCUUAUGCCUCUCCCUCAUAUGAAAUUGCAAUGACGACUACCGGUCUUGUUAACAAUUGCCUAGGAUAAUUCCGCACACCGAUCCAUCAUUAUUCCACACUCGCUAUUUAUAAUAUUUAGUAAUAUAUUCUAACUUUAUGAUAAGAACACCUACUUUUAUAUUUUAGCUCUCCGAUAUCAUGCAAAGUUAUCCUCUUCAUACCCACAACGUAGUUUUAUUUCUCGUUUCUAGUUGGAAGCAAACGUUCGGUGUACGUAGAGUCGUAUCAGUGGCAGAUAGGACUUGAGAGAAUAUUGAUCUUACCUUUAGCUCCUUGUGGGUUCGACACUCCAUACUUAUCACUUCCUCCUUUGGGAAUUUCUACGAUGAUUCCCUGCACUUGGGGAUUAUCAAGCUCUUUUCUGGCGCCGUUGCCGGGGAGCAAUAGCGUGGGGUUGAUAUUCUCGUGUGUGCUUGUUUGCUUUCUUCACUAAGUAGAUCUUGUUUUUCCUUUUUGUUUCUGUUUAGUUGUGGGUGAAACAUACAAUUUUUUUUAAGAAUGAAAAUACAAAAAAAAUUAUUACUUGCCUCUCAUGCCUAAAAAGUUUUUCAAAAAGAGAAGUGAUUGGAAAGUUACGCAUUGAAGAAGUGAGGAUCGACCUUGAGCACUUGUGUUCAUGCUCACGGAAAAAAUGUAGAAUUUUUCAUGGAAGUUUCUCUGUAAAUAAUUAUCCCCUUGUAUAUACCCAUUGUAUUAUAAAAAUAAUGUGCCAAGCUUUGGUUUUAGGAUGAUUAGAUUGCUUGUUUACUAUGUGCAGAACAAAAACAGAAACUUUGGCUGUAGUGCGUGAUUUUACAUUUUUUACUGGAAGUUCAAAUGGGUCUGAAACUUUUUUCAAAUUACUUCUGUAAUUUUUUUUCAAAUUUUCAAUUUUUUUUCAUAAUUUUAGGAGUUACAGAAGUUUACUAAACUUCCAGAUUACUACAGACUGUCCUGUUUUUGACAGAUUCUGUUUUUCGCGUGUUGUUUGCUUAUUUUGAUGAAUCUAUGGCUAGUAUCGGGGGGUAUGAACCAUAGAGGAGUUGGAAUACAGUAGGUUUAACACCAAUAUAAAUAAAGAAUGAAUUCAUUACAGUACCUUAAAGUGGUAGUUUGCUUUAUUACACUAACGGAUCUCACAAAGUUUUUGUUAAAGUUUUGUGUGGAUGAAGUGUUCGAAGAACGAGGAGUUACCGAUGUGAGAAGAAUAAAGAGAGGCAAGAGUUCAAGCUUGGGGAUUCCCAAGGCACCCCAAGUAAAUAUUCCAAGGAUACUCAAGCAUCUAAGCUUGGGGAUGCCCCGGUUGGCAUCCCAUCUUUCUUCUUCAACAAAUAUCGGUUUACCUCGGUUUUUGUUUUGUUCACAUGAUUUGUGUCCUUUGUGUUUUUGUUUUUCCUUUAAGAACCAUGCUAGUAUGAGAUAGCCCUUCAUUUAUUUAUAGAAUACUUCAUGUGCUUCACUUAUAUCUUUCAAGUAUGAUCUUAUAGAAUCGCUCUUUGUGCUUCACUUAAAACAUUUGAGUAUGGUUUUAUAGAAUGCUUCGUGUGCUUCACUUAUAUAUUUUGAGCUUGGAUAUUGGUUAGUCUAUAUUAAUUAAAUAAUGAUCCAUCAACUUCACUUAUAUCUUUUGGAGUAUGAAUAAUACUAUCAUCUAAAGCGGGUUUGGAAGAGUGUCAACUUUAGGAAUUAGUGACCCCACUAUUCCGAAUGAGAAGAAUUUUGCUUAUGUGGAGAGUAGAAAAUUCUCUAUGCUUGUAGAUCAUGAAAAGAAUGCUUUAUGUGAUGGUUAUAUUGAUGAAUUCAUUCAUGAUGCUACUGAAAGUUAUUAUGAGGGAGGAAUAUAUGCUUGUAGGAGUUGCAAUAAUAUCAAGUUUCCUCUCUAUGUGCUUAAAGUUUUGAAGUUAUACUUGUUUUGCCUUCCUAUGCUAGUUGAUUCUUGUUCCUAUAAAUUAUGUGUUCACAAAAUCCCUAGGCAUAGGAAGUGGGUUAGAUUUAAAUGUGCUAGUCAUAUUCUUCAUGAUGCUCUCUUUAUGUUUCAAUUCUUAUCUUUUAUGUGAGCAUCAUUGAAAUCAUCAUGCCUAGCUAAAAGGCAUUAAAGAAAAGCGCUUGUUGGGAGACAACCCAAUAUUUACCCUUACUGUUUUUGUGUGUUUACAUGAUUAAUCUACUGUAGUAAUCAUUUUUUAUAGCUUUUGUUUCAAUAAAGUGCCAAGUAAGACCUUUGGGAAGACCUGGGUGAAAGUUAAUGUGAUCUUGCUGUAAAAAACAGAAACUUUGCGUUCACAAGAUUAUCUGCCAUUUUUUACAGAAGAGUGAUUUUGAGUUGAUUAUUUUUUGAAGAAGAUUAAUAGACAAAUUCCUCACGUCCACCAAUUUAUUUCAUAAUGUUUGGAGUAGCAGAAGUAUGGUUUAUGUUAAGAUCAUUACAGACUGUUCUGUUUCUGACAGAUUCUGUUUUCAUUGCAUAGUUUGCUUGUUUUCUUGUUACUAUGGUUUAUAUUUCUCAAUAUAAAUUGUAGAAAUGAUAUGGUACAGUAGGCAUUGUGUGAGAACAAUUAUGAACCUUGUCUUUGAAAUUACCAAAGUGAAUUGUUUACUCUUUAUCAUACUAACCUAUCUCACGAAGUUCCGUUAAGUUUUGUGUGAUUGAAGUUUUCAACCUUUGGGUGAGAUAUCGAUAUGCGGAGAAUAAGGAGUGGAAAGACCCCAAGCUUGGGGAUGCCCAAGGCACCCCAAGGUAAUACUCAAGGAAGACUCAAGCGCCUAAGCUUGGGUAUGCCCCGGAAGGCAUCCCCUCUUUCGUCUUCAGAACUAUCGGUAUACCUUACUCGGAGCUAUAUUUUUAUUCGUCACAUGAUAUGUGUUUUGCUUGGAGCGUAUUUUCAAUUUUACUUGCUAUUUGAAUAAAAUUAUUGGAUCUGAAAUCUUGAAUGAAAAAGAAUCCUCCCAUGGCUAGUUAAUUAUUUGACUACUCAGUGUGCUUCAAGUAUAUCCUAUGAGUAAAUGGUUGAAUGAAUUGAAUAUCAUAAAUCUGAAUUUAUAAAUCUUUCAUAUGCUUAUACCAUGGGGAGUAAUGACUUCACACAGAAUAAGUAUAGGUAGUAAACUUAUUGAAAGUUAGCAAACGCAGAAUUGGUCACUUGAACAAUUCAUGAAAGAAUAUUGAAGGAAGAGAGAUUUCACAUAUAAAUAUACUAUCUUGGACAUAUUUUGUAAUUGUGAGCACUCAUUAAAAUAUGACAUGCUAAAAGGAUGAUGUUGGACAAGGAAGACAACGUAAUGGGUUAUGUUUUCUUAUAUCCGAAAUAAAGUAUAUUGUCAUGGAUCAUCCAACAUGUUGAGCUUGCCUUUCCCUCUCAUGCUAGCCAAAUUCUUUGCACCAAGUAGAGAUACUACUUGUGCUUCCGAACAUCCCUUAAACCAGUUUUGCCAUGAGAGUCCACCAUACCUACCUAAGGAUUGAGUAAGAUCCUUCAAGUAAGUUGUCAUCGGUGCAUGCAAUAAAAAUUGCUCCUUAAAUAUGUAUGAUCUAUUAGUGCAAAGAAAAUAAGCGUUAUACGAACUUGUGAUAGGGAAGAAAUAAAAGCGACAGAUUGCAUAAUAAAGGUCUUUAUCACAAGAGGCAAUAUAAAGUGACAUUAUUUUGCAUUAAGAUUUUGUACAUCCAACCAUAAAAGCGCAUGACAACCUCUGCUUCCCUCUGCGAAGGGCCUAUCUUUUACUUUUAUCUUCUACCCUUAUACAAGAGUCAUGGUGAUCAUCACCUUUCCUUUUUACACUUUUUCCUUUGGCAAGCACUUUGUGUUGGAGCGAUCCGGAUAUAUAUAUCCACUUGGAUGUAGGUUCUCAUAAAUUAUUAUUGUUGACAUUACCCUUGAGGUAAAAGGUUGGGAGGCGAAACUAUAAGCCCCUAUCUUUCUCUGUGUCCGAUUAAAACUUUGAACCCAUAAAUAUCACAUGAGUGUUAGCAAUUGUGAAAGAUUAAAUGAUAGUUGAAUAUGUGGAGUUUGCUGAAUCAAAGCUCUUACAUAGAUCCUUCCCGAAAAUAAGAUGAAUUGCAAUUGUUUGAUGACUAAGAGCAUUGUUUGUUAGUUUUCAAGAAAGUUUAUGAUCUAUACUUUAACAUGUGAAUAGCUUGUUACUUGAUCAUGAAAAGUUUUAAGAGAUGAGCUACUGUUAUGACAUAUAAUGAUGCUAGAAAAGGUGAUUGAAAUUAUCAUUGAUCAAACUUGUGCACCUGCUAGCAUUCACACAUCAUAAAUUAUUUCUUUUAUCAUUUACCUACUCGAGGACGAGCAGGAAUUAAGCUUGGGGAUGCUGAUACGUCUCCAACGUAUCUGUAAUUUAUGAAGUAUUCAUGCUAUUAUAUUAUCCAUCGUAGAUGUUUUAUAUGCAUUUAUAUGCUAUUUUAUAUGAUUUUUGGGACUAACCUAUUAACCUAGAGCCCAGUGCCAGUUUCUAUUUUUCCUUGUUUUUGAGUUUUAUAGAAAAGGAAUACCAAAUGGAGUCCAAUUGACGUGCCAAUUUUUGUUGAUUUUUUAGACCAAAAGAAGCCCCUGUAGCAAAAGAGUUGGGCCAGAAGAGUCCCGGGCUGUCCACGAGGGUGGGGGCGUGCCCACCCCCCUGGGCGUGGGCCCCUACCUCGUGGACGACUCAGAGACCCCCCUGACGUGAAACCAACGCCAAAAAUUCCUAAAAUACAGAAACGCCUAGAAAAUAACCUAGAUCAGAAGUCCGCCGCCGCAAGCCUCUGUAGCCACGAGAAAUCAAUCUAGGCCCUCUCUGGCACCCUACCGGAGGGGGCCAUCAUCACCGGAGGCCAUGGAGGAGGAUCCCGGAGGGGCCAUCAUCGCCAUGAAGGCCAAGGACCAGAGGGAGAACCUCUCCCCAUCUAGGGGGGAGGCCAUGGAGGAGGAAGCACAAGGGGGAGAACCUCUCCUCCUCUCUCUCGAUGGCACCGGAGUGAUAUCGGGAGGGGAAUCAUCGCCGUGGUGAUCGUCUUCAUCAACAUCGCCAUCAUCAUCACCAUCCUCAUCUAUUUUACGGGGUCCACUCUCCCGCACCCUGAUACGUCUCCAACGUAUCUAUAAUUUUUGAUUGUUCCAUGCUAUAUUAUAUUCUGUUUUGGAUGUUAAUGGGCUUUAUUAUACACUUUUAUAUUAUUUUUGGGACUAACCUAUUAACCGGAGGCCCAGCCCAAAUUGCUGUUUUUUUGCCUAUUUUAGUGUUUCGCAGAAAAAGAAUAUCAAACGGAGUCCAAACGGAAUGAAACCUUCGGGAACGUGAUUUUUGGAACAAACGUGAUCCAGAGGACUUGGAGUCUACGUCAAGAAAUCAACCAGGAGAGCACGAGGCAGGGGGCGCGCCCUCCACCCUCGUGGGGCCCACGUUGCUCCAACGACGUACUUCUUCCUCCUAUAUAUACCUACGUACCCCAAAACUAUCAGAUACGGAGCCAAAAACCUAAUUCCACCGCCGCAACCUUCUGUACCCGUGAGAUCCCAUCUUGGGGCCUUUUUCGGCGCUCCACCGGAGGGGGCAUUGAUCACGGAGGGCUUCUACAUCAACACCAUAGCCUCUCCGAUGAUGUGUGAGUAGUUUACCUCAGACCUUCGGGUCCAUAGUUAUUAGCUAGAUGGCUACUUCUCUCUCUUUGGAUCUCAAUACAAAGUUCUCCACGAUUCUCGUGGAGAUCUAUUCGAUGUAAUCUUCUUUUGCAGUGUGUUUGUUGAGACCGAUGAAUUGUGGGUUUAUGAUCAAGUUUAUCUAUGAACAAUAUUUGAAUCUCUUCUGAAUAUGUAUGAUUGGUUAUCUUUGCAAGUCUCUUCGAAUUAUCAGUUUGGUUUGGCCUACUAGAUUGAUAUUUCUUGCAAUGGGAGAAGUGCUUAGCUUUGGGUUCAAUCUUGCGGUGUCCUUUCCCGGUGACAGCAGGGGCAGCAAGGCAUGUAUUGUAUUGUUGCCAUCGAGGAUAACAAGAUGGGGUUUAUAUCAUAUUGCAUGAGUUUAUCCCUCUACAUCAUGUCAUCUUGCUUAAAGCGUUACUCUGUUCUUAUGAACUUAAUACUCUAGAUGCAUGCUAGAUAGCGGUCGAUGUGUGGAGUAAUAGUAGUAGAUGUAGGCAGGAGUCGGUCUACUUGUCACGGACGUGAUGCCUAUAUAUAUGAUCAUACCUAGAUAUUCUCAUAACUAUGCUCAAUUCUAUCAAUUGCUCAACAGUAAUUUGUUCACCCACCGUAAUACUUAUGCUCUUGAGAGAAGCCACUAGUGAAACCUAUGGCCCCGGGGUCUAUUUUCCAUCAUAUUAAUCUUCCAACACUUAGUUAUUUCUUUUGCCUUUUAUUUUACUUUGCAUCUUUAUUUCUCUUUAUCAUAGAAAUACCAAAAAUAUUAUAUUAUCAUAUCUAUCAGAAAUCACUCUCGUAAGUGACCGUUGAGGGAUUGACAACCCCUUUAUCGCGUUGGUUGCGAGGUUCUUAUUUGUUUGUGUAGGUGUGAGGGACUCGUGCGUGAUCUCCUACUGGAUUGAUACCUUGGUUCUCGAAAACUGAGGGAAAUACUUACGCUACUUUACUGCAUCACCCUUUCCUCUUCAAGGGAAAACCAACGCAGUGCUCAAGAGGUAGCAAGAAGGAUUUAUGGCGCCGUUGCCGGGGAGAUUCGCGCCAAGUCAAGUCAAGUCAAGAUAUACCAAGUACCCAUCACAAACUCUUAUCCCUCGCAUUACAUUAUUUGCCAUUUGCCUCUCGUUUUCCUCUCCCCCACUUCACCCUUGCCGUUUUAUUCGCCCUCUCUUUUCCGCUUGCCUCUUUUUCGCUUGCUUCGUCAUUAUGGCUAGUCCUUUAUCUACUCCUUUAUCUCCCGAGAAUGGAUUUCUUAAUUUUAAACAAAGGGAGGGAGAAAAUCUAAAAGAUGCUUGGUGCAGAAUUUGCAAUGCGCAAAAUAAAUCUACUAGGAGCAAUCUACUUCCGUCCUUCUUCGCAAUUUUUACGUAGGCAUCACGCCUUGGAAUAGAUACAUUCUUGAUACCAUUACCGGAGGAAAUUUCUUGGGUAGCCAUACUUUUGAUUCUUAUAAUGCUAUGAUAGAUUUGUUUGGCCCACCACCUCUUUUGGUUAAUGGAACUAUGUUAACUUUGGAGCAUGUGAUGAAAAUAAAGUUGCUACCGUAGAGUUAAUUGAAAAAUUGGAUAAAAAGAUCCACAACCAAAUUACCCAAUAUGGAUCUAAGGUAGGAGUCACUUUGAAAUUUUUUAAAGAGAAGGAACCCAUGGUUAAUGAAAGAAUAAAUCAAGAUUCCACUAGAAUCGAUAAGCUUGAGGGUAUCAUUACCAACUUGGGAACCGCUUUUUCUUCCGUAAAAAACACUUCAAAUCCUCCUACCAAAAUUGCCAAGUUUAUGUAUGUUCCUAAAAAUAAGGGUGAAUCCUCUAAUAAGGAAACUGCGGAUCUCAAAUCAAUAAGUGUUCAUCCCAAUCUUUUUGCUAUCAUUAAGGAACCAUUUGCUGCAAAUGAUUUUUUUGAUUUCGUUCCUAGAAGUUUGAUAAUUAAUAGAAAGAAAGAAACUCCUAAGGCUUAUAGGUGUCUUAUUGAAGAAUUGCCUACCAAAGAUGGCAAUACCUAGAUCUAUCCUUGCUUUUAUGCCAAGCUAGGGGCGUUAAACGAUAGCGCUUGUUGGGAGGCAACCCAAUUUUAUUUUUAGUUUUUUUGCUUUUUUCUUCUGUUUAGGAAUAAAUAUUUGAUCUAGCCUCUGGUUAGAUUUGUUUUUAUGUUUUAAUUAGUGUUUGUGCCAAGUUAAACCUAUAGGACCUUCUUGGAUGAUAGUUAUUUGAUCUUGCUGAAAAUUCCAGAAACUUUCUGUUCACGAAAACAAUUGUUUAAAAUCACCAGAACAUGAUAAAAUAAUGAUUCCAAUUGCAGAAGAUCAAUAAACAAAUUGUCUAGGUCGUCCUAUUUUGGUAGAUGUUUUUGAGUUCCAGAAGUUUGUGUUAGUUACAGAUUACUACAAACUGUUCUGUUUUUGACAGAUUCUGUUUUUCGUGUGUUGUUUGCUUAUUUUGAUGAAUCUAUGGCUAAUAAAAUAGUUUAUAAACCAUAGAGAAGUUGGAAUACAGUAGGUUUAACACCAAUAUAAAUAAAGAAUGAGUUCAUUACAGACCUUGAAGUGGUAUUUUGUUUUCUUUCGCUGACGGAGCUCACGAGAUUUUCUGCUAAGUUUUGUGUUGUGAAGUUUUCAAGUUUUGGGUAAAAGAUUUGAUGGAUUAUGGAACAAGGAGUGGCAAGAGCCUAAUCUUGGUGAUGCCCAUGGCACCCCAAGAUAAUCUAAGGACACCAAAAAGCCAGAGCUUGGGGAUGCCCCGGAAGGCAUCCCCUCUUUCGUCUACUUCCAUCGGUAACUUUACUUGGAGCUAUAUUUUUAUUCACCACAUGAUAUGUGUUUUGAUUGGAGCGUCUUGUAUUAUUUGAGUCUUUAUUUGUUAGUUUUCCACAAUCAUCCUUGCUGUACACACCUUUUGAGAGAGACACACUUGAUUCGGAAUUUGUUAGAAUACUCUAUGUGCUUCACUUAUAUCUUUUGAGCUAUAUAGUUUUUGCUCUAGUGCUUUACUUAUAUCUUUUAGAGCACGGUGGUGGAUUUGUUUUAUAGAAACUAUUGUUCUCUCAUGCUUCACUUAUAUUAUUCUGAGAGUCCUACAAAACAGCUUGGUAAUUUGCUUAAAUUGAGAAAUUAGUCCUAAAGUAAUAGGCAUCCAAGAUUAGUAAAAAUUAUCUUAUGAGUGUGUUGAAUACUAUGAGAAGUUUGAUGCUUGAUAAUUGUUUUGAGAUAUGAAGAUGGUGAUAUUAGAGUCAUGCUAGUUGAGUAGUUGUGGAUUUGAGGAAUACUUGUGUUAAAAUUUGUGAUUCCCGUAGCAUGCACGUAUGGUGAACCGUUAUGUGAUGAAGUCAGAGCAUGAUUUAUUUAUUGAUUGUCUUCCUUAUGAGUGGCGGUCGGGGACGAGCGAUGGUCUUUUCCUACCAAUAUAUCCCCCUAGGAGCAUGCGCGUAAUACUUUGCUUUGAUAACUUGUAGAUUUCUGCAAUAAAUAUAUGAGUUCUUUAUGACUAAUGUUGAGUCCAUGGAUUAUACGCACUCUCUUCCUUCCACCAUUGCUAGCCUCUCUAAUACUGCGCACUUCUCGCCGGUAUCAUACACCCACCAUAUACCUUCCUCAAAACAGCCACCAUACCUACCUAUCAUGGCAUUUCCAUAGCCAUUCCGAGAUAUAUUGCCAUGCAACUUACCACCGUUCCGUUUACUAUGACACGCUCCAUCAUUGUCAUAUUGCUUCGCAUGAUCAUGUAGUUGACAUCGUAUUUGUGGCAAAGCCACCGUUCAUAAUUCUUUCAUACAUGUCACUCUUGAUUCAUUGCAUAUCCCGGUACACCGCCGGAGGCAUUCACAUAGAGUCAUAUUUUGUUCUAAGUAUUGAGUUGUAAUUGUUGAGUUGUAAGUAAAUAAAAGUGUGAUGAUCAUCAUUUUUAGAGCAAUUGUCCCAAGUGAGGAAAGGAUGAUGGAGACUAUGAUUCCCCCACAAGUCGGGAUGAGACUCCGGACGAAAAAGAAAAAAAAGAAAAAAAGAGGCCAUAAAAAAAGGAGAAAAGGCCCAAAUAAAAAAAAGAGAGAAAAAGAGAGAAGGGACAAUGUUACUAUCCUUUUACCACACUUGUGCUUCAAAGGAGCACCAUGAUCUUUAUGAUAGAGAGUCUCCUAUGAUAUCACUUUCAUAUACUAGUGGGAAUUUUUCAUUAUAGAACUUGGCUUGUAUAUUCCAAUGAUGGGCUUCCUCCAAAUGCCCUAGGUCUUCGUGAGCAAGUGAGUUGGAUGCACACCCACAUAGUUUCUUCUGUUGAGCUUUCAUAUACUUAUAGCUGUAGUGCAUCCGUUGCAUCGCAAUCCCUACUCACUCACAUUGAUAUCUAUUAAUGGGUAUCUCCAUAGCCCGUUGAUACGCCUAGUUGAUGUGAGACUAUCUUCUCCUUUUUUUGUCUUCUCCACAACCACCAUUCUAUUCCACAUAUAGUGCUAUAUCCAUGGCUCACGCUCAUGUAUUGCGUGAAGAUUGAAAAAGUUUGAUAACACCAAAAGUAUGAAACAAUUGCUUGGCUUAUCAUCGGGGUUGUGCAUGAUUUAAAUACUGUGUGGUGAAGAUAGAGCAUAGCCAGACUAUAUGAUUUUGUAGGGAUAACUUUCUUUGGCCAUGUUAUUUUGAGAAGACAUAAUUGCUUAGUUAGUAUGCUUGAAGUAUUAUUAUUUUUAUGUCAAUAUUAAACUUUUGUCUUGAAACUUUCGGAUCUGAAUAUUCAUACCACAAUUAAGGGAAUUACAUUGAAAAUUAUGCUAAGUAGCAUUCCACAUCAAAAAUUCUGUUUUUAUCAUUUACCUACUCGAGGACGAGCAGGAAUGAAGCUUCGGGAUGCUUGAUACGUCUCCAACGUAUCUAUAAUCUAUAAUUUUUUAUUGUUCCAUGCUAUAUUAUAUUCUGUUUUGGAUGUUAAUGGGCUUUAUUAUACACUUUUAUAUUAUUUUUGGGACUAACCUAUUAACCGGAGGCCCAACCCAAAUUGCUGUUUUUUGCCUAUUUCAGUGUUUCGCACAAAAAGAAUAUCAAACGGAGUCCAAACGGAAUGAAACCUUGGGAACGUGAUUUUCGGAACAAACGUGAUCCAGAGGACUUGGAGUCUACGUCAAGAAAUCAACCAGGAGAGCACGAGGCAGGGGGGCGCGCCCUCCACCCUCGUGGGGCCCACGUUGCUCCACCGACGUACUUCUUCCUCCUAUAUAUACCUACGUACCCCCAAACUAUCAGAUACGGAGCCAAAAACCUAAUUCAACCGCCGCAACCUUCUGUAUCCAUGAGAUCCCAUCUUGGGGCCUUUUCCGGCACUCCGCCGGAGGGGGCAUUGAUCACGGAGGGCUUCUACAUCAAGACCAUAGCCUCUCCGAUGAUGUGUGAGUAGUUUACCUCAGACCUUCGGGUCCAUAGUUAUUAGCUAGAUGGCUUCUUCUCUCUCUUUGGAUCUCAAUACAAAGUUCUCCACGAUUCUCGUGGAGAUCUAUUCGAUGUAAUCUUCUUUUGCAGUGUGUUUGUUGAGAUCAAUGAAUUGUGGGUUUAUGAUCAAGUUUACCUAUGAACAGUAUUUGAAUCUCUUCUGAAUUCUUUUAUGUAUGAUUGGUUAUCUUUGCAAGUAUCUUCGAAUUAUCAGUUUGGUUUGGCCUACUAGAUUGAUCUUUCUUGCAAUGGGAAAAGUGCUUAGCUUUGGGUUCAAUCUUGCGCUGUCCUUUCCCGGUGGCAGCAGGGGCAGCAAGGCACGUAUUGUAUUGUCGCCAUCGAGGAUAAAAAGAUGGGGUUUAUAUCAUAUUGCAUGAGUUUAUCCCUCUACAUCAUGUCAUCUUGCUUAAAGCGUUACUCUGUUCUUAUGAACUUCAUACUCUAGAUGCAUGCUGGAUAGCGGUCGAUGUGUGGAGUAAUAGUAGUAGAUGCAGGCAGGAGUCGGUCUACUUGUCACGGACGUGAUGCUUAUAUACAUGAUCAUACCUAGAUAUUCUCAUAACUAUGCUCAAUUCUAUCAAUUGCUCAACAGUAAUUUGUUCACCCACCGUAAUACUUAUGCUCUUGAGAGAAGCCACUAGUGAAACCUAUGGCCCCCGGGUCUAUUUUCCAUCAUAUUAAUCUUCCAACACUUAGUUAUUUGUUUUUCCUUUUAUUUUACUUUGCAUCUUUAUUUCUCUUUAUCAUAAAAAUACCAAAAAUAUUAUAUUAUCAUAUCUAUCAGAUCUCACUCUCGUAAGUGACCGUUGAGGGAUUGACAACCCCUUUAUCGCGUUGGUUGCGAGGUUCCUAUUUGUUUGUGUAGGUGCGAGGGACUCGUGCGUGAUCUCCUACUGGAUUGAUACCUUGGUUCUCAAAAACGGAGGGAAAUACUUACGCUACUUUACUGCAUCACCCUUUCCUCUUCAAGGGAAAACCAACGCAGUGCUCAAGAGGUAGCACACCCGCUGUAAUCUCUACUUGAACAUGGUGCUUUAUGCCACGUAUUAUGAUCCAAUGAUGCGUUGCCAUCCUAUGAUGUUUUGAGUAGAUAUCCUUUGUCUUUGGGUUGAUUGAUGAUCUAGAUUGGUACGAGUUGUAUGUUUUAUUUUGGUGAUGUCCUAUUGUGCCCUCCGUGUCGCGCAAGCAUGAGGGAUUCCCGCUGUAGGGUGUUGCAAUACUAUUAUGAUUCGCUUAUAGUGGGUUGUUUGAGUGACAGAAGCAUAAACCCGAGUAAGGGGGUUGUUGCGUAUGGGAUAAAGGGGACUUGAUGCUUUAAUGCUAUGGUUGGGUUUUACCUUAAUGAUCUUUAGUAGUUGCGGAUGCUUGCUAGAGUUCCAAUCAUAAGUGCAUAUGAUCCAAGAAGAGAAAGUAUGUUAGCUUAUGCCUCUCCCUCAUAUGAAAUUGCAAUGACGACUACCGGUCUUGUUAACAAUUGCCUAGGAUAAUUCCACACACCGAUCCAUCAUUAUUCCACACUCGCUAUUUAUAAUAUUUAGUAAUAUAUUCUACCUUUAUGAUAACAGCACCUACUUUUAUAUUUUAGCUCUCCGAUAUCAUGCAAAGUUAUCCUCUUCAUACCCACAACGUAGUUUUAUUUCUCGUUUCUAGUUGGAAGCAAACGUUCGGUGUACGUAGAGUCGUAUCAGUGGCAGAUAGGACUUGAGAGAAUAUUGAUCUUACCUUUAGAUCCUUGUGGGUUUGACACUCCAUACUUAUCACUUCCACCUUUGGGAAUUGCUACGAUGAUUCCCUGCACUUGGGGAUUAUCAAUCAUCGCUUCCUCAUACUUCGUAGGUUCAUCAUGGUCAUGUAACAUGACUUCCAGAACUGGAUUACCGUACCACUCUGGUGCGGAUCUUACUUUGGUUGACCUACGAGGUUCGGUAGUAACUUGAUCAGAAGUUUCAUGAUCAUCAUCAUUAGCUUCCUCACUUACUGGUGUAGGAAUCACUGGAACUGGUUUGUGUGAUGAACUACUUUCCAAUAAGGGAGAAGGUACAAUUACCUCGUCAAGUUCUACUUCCUCCCACUCACUUCUUUCGAGAGAAACUCCUUCUCUAUAAAGGAUCCAUUCUUAGCAACAAAUAUCUUGCCUUCGGAUCUGUGAUAGAAGGUGUUCCCAACAGUCUCCUUUGGGUAUCCUAUGAAGAUACAUUUCUCCGAUUUGGGUUCGAGCUUAUCAGGUUGAAGCUUUUUCACAUAAGCAUCGCAGCCCCAAACUUUAAGAAACGACAACUUGGGUUUCUUGCCAAACCACAGUUCAUAAGGUGUCGUCUCAACAGAUUUAGAUGGUGCCCUAUUUAACAUGAAUGCAACCAUCUCUAAAGCAUAACCCAAAACGAUAGCGGUAAAUCAAUAAGAGACAUCAUAGAUCUCACCAUAUCUAGUAAAGUACGAUUAUGACGUUCGGACACACCAUUACGCUGUGGUGUUCCGGGUGGCGUGAGUUGCGAAACUAUUCCGCAUUGUUUCAAAUCAAGACCAAACUCAUAACUCAAAUAUUCUCCUCCACGAUCAGAUCGCAGAAACUUUAUUUUCUUGUUACGAUGAUUUUCCACUUCACUCUGAAAUUCUUUGAACUUUUCAAAUGUUUCAGACUUAUGUUUCAUCAAGUAGAUAUACCCAUAUCUGCUCAAAUCAUCUGUGAAGGUAAGAAAAUAACGAUACCCGCCGCGAGCAUCAACACUCAUCAGACCGCAUACAUAAGUAUGUAUUAUUUCCAACAAGUCUGUUGCUCGCUCCAUUGUUCCGGAGAACGGAGUCUUAGUCAUCUUGCCCAUGAGGCAUGGUUCGCAAGCAUCAAGUGAUUCUAAAAGCCCAUCAGCAUGGAGUUUCUUCAUGCGCUUUAAACUAAUAUGACCUAAACGGCAGUGCCACAAAUAAGUUGCACUAUCAUUAUUAAACUUAUAUCUUUUGGCUUCAAUACUAUGAACACGUGUAUCACUACUAUCAAGAUUUAGUAAAAAUAGACCACUCAUCAAGGGUGCAUGACCAUAAAAGAUAUUACUCGUAUAAAUAGAACAACCAUUAUUCUCCGAUUUAAAUGAAUAACAGUCUCUCAUCAAACAAGAUCCAGAUAUAAUGUUCAUGCUCAACGCUGGCACCAAAUAACAAUUAUUUAGGUCUAUAACUAAUCCCGAAGGUAGAUGUAGAGGUAGCGUGCCGACGGCGAUCACAUCGACUUUGGAACCAUUUCCCACGCGCAUCGUCACCUCGUCCUUAGCCAAUCUUUACUUAACCCGUAGCCCCUGUUUCGAGUUGCAAAUAUUAGCAACAGAACCAGUAUCAAAUACCCAGGCGCUACUGCGAGCAUUAGUAAGGUACACAUCAAUAACAUGUAUAUCAAAUAUACCUUUCACUUUGCCAUCCUUCUUCUCCGCCAAAUACUUGGGGCAGUUCCGCUUCCAGUGACCAGUCCCUUUGCAGUAGAAGCACCCAGUCUCAGGCUUAGGUCCAGACUUGGGCUUCUUCACUUGAGCAGCAACUUGCUGCCGUUCUUCUUGAAGUUCCCCUUCUUCCCUUUACCCUUUUUCUUGAAACUAGUGGUCUUGUUGACCAUCAACACUUGAUACUCCUUCUUGAUUUCUACCUCCGCAGCCUUUAGCAUCGUGAAGAGCUCGGAAAUCGUCUUAUCCAUCCCUUGCAUAUUAUAGUUCAUCACGAAGCUCUUAUAGCUUGGUGGUAGUGAUUGAAGAACUCUGUCAAUGACACUAUCAUCAGGAAGAUUAACUCCCAGUUGAGUCAAGUGGUUGUGGUACCCAGACAUUCUGAGUAUAUGUUCACUGACAGAACUAUUCUCCUCCAUCUUGCAGCCGUAGAACUUAUUAGAGACUUCAUAUCUCUCAAUCCGGGCAUUUUCUUGAAAUAUUAACUUCAACUCCUGGAACAUCUCAUAUGCUCCAUGACGUUCAAAAUGUCAUUGAAGUCCCGGUUAUAAGCCGUAAAGCAUGGCACACUGAACUAUUGAGUAGUCAUCAGCUUUGCUCUGCCAGACGUUCAUAACAUCUGGCGUUGCUCCUGUAGCGGGUUUGUCACCUAGCGGUGCUUCCAGGACGUAAUUCUUCUGUGCAGCAAUGAGGAUAAUCCUCAAGUUAUGGACCCAGUCCGUGUAAUUGCUACCAUCAUCUUUCAACUUAGCUUUCUCUAGGGACGCAUUAAAAUUCAAGGGCUUAUUCCAUCUGUGCCCCCAAUUCCUUAGUUGUGCUCAGUUUUCCCCACGCUUCAAACUUUUGCUCACUUUUCCCCACUCCCUUAGCUGAAACUCUCACAAAUGUUCAUAACAGACGUUUGCCGUCUUGGCCAUUAACUGACUUGUGGGGCCACGUUGGACUCUGUUGAUUGUGGCUGUGGCUUCGCUGGUUGGGCCGUGUUUGUGUUCAUAGGACGGGCUCGUUAGUUUGUUGGUAAUAAAUUACAAAAGCCUGCUAUCGAUGGAUGCAGCCUGCUAUGCAUGCCCGGCUUUGGCAUCGAUGUAGCCUGCUAUGCAUGCGAACACCGCCACGCACGCAUCUAGUGACCUAGACCUAAACGCAUGCAUGCACGCCGACACGCACGCAUCGAUCUGUGCUGCACGGUUGCCGGUGGAUUCAGUCGCUCCGCGGCGUCGUUUCACGCGUCGCAGGCAUACGUGCCGGUGGUAGAAGGGGCAGGCUGCACGCACGCUCGCGUCCAUAUGUCGAGGCAUCGGUUCACGCCGCACGGCUGCCGCUCGAUUCAGUUGUGGGAGGCAGGCAGCCGCCAACGCAGAGCACGCAGAAGGGGGAGGCAGGCAGCCGCCAACGCAGAGCACGCAAAGCACGCUCGCAUCGAUUCACGUUCACACAUUGAUGAUCGCAUCGGUUCACGCACGCACUGAGUCACGAUCUACGCCAUUUGCGCGUGUACCCACUUCGUCUCCCCCGGCUAUUUAAACUGCCCUUCAUUGCCUCUUCUUCUACAGAUCCAUCUGCGCCUCCCACUUCUCUUCUUCCCCCCAAAGCCAAAGCCAUUCCACUCAGCGAAGCGUUCAAGAUGCAGUACAACGGGCCGACGUUCCAAGAGCCGCCCACCGUGCCGGAACGGCGGUACCCCGCCAACGUCGUCGUCGAGGCAUCGCUCCGCGUGUGGGCGUUCUCACGCUGGAGGGGUAGCACUGAGCUUGCACGGGGGUUCCUCCGUGCGGGCUUCCACCACCUCCCGGCGGGCUCACCGCCCAUGUUCAACCUCUCAUGGACCAGCGUCCCCACGCCAAUGCUCCAGUGGUAGGGCUCGUCGUCCACUUCACCAACAAGUUCGAGGCCUACUACCUGCUCGACAAGGUGUAUUGGUGUGGGUGCGAGUUCAUCGCAUUCACCACCUAUAACAUCUUCACCGACUUCGAGAGCGUCUUCCCCGCUCGCAACCGCAUGCAUAGCCUCCCGUACUACCUCGGCGACAACGGCCUUGAGGAGGAGUAGUACUGAAGCCGGCGGCGAAGAAGACGGUGAAGCCGGCGGUUAAGGUGAAGACGACGGUGAAGACAUGGCAGUGUUGCCCUAGCUACCCUAUCUACUAUGUACUGUGAGUUUGGUGUGUGUGUUGCCCGACCUAGCUACCCUAUCUAUGCAUGUAAGUUUAAUUAUUAUUAUCUAUCGGUGUCGUGUUAUAUGUAAGAACUUAUGUUGCCCUAGCAACCCUAUCUAAGUUAAGUUAUGUGUGUUAUAUUAAUGCUUUGUUAUGUUUGUAUUUUGUUUGUCCCAAGUUUAGACACGGCUAAUUGGCGUGGGAAAAAUUAACCUAACUAACUAAAAAUGAUGUGUUUAUAGAUGCCUUCUAAAAAUAAGAACAUAUUGUACAUUUGUACACGGCUUUGGUUUGAGAGCUCUGUAUUUUGUAGGUAUUCCAAGAAUAAUUUGGUUUUCAGAAAUAUUGAAGUAUCAAAUACUUUGAGAUGUUUGGCUUUAGUCAAAAGUGUAGUUUUAUAUACUUUAAUAUGUAGAAAACUACACUAUGUUUGAAGUAUAUAAAAAAGAGGGUUGGACCUCUUUUUCAAUCAUGAAGUAUUGGUUCGCUAGGAAUAAUAAUUCUGCGGUUUGCAAGUACUUUGAUUCUAAAAAAUGAAGGGACCCAUAAAGGAAAGCCAAAAAAAUUCCUCAAUGAGAUAGAAGAGAUUGGGCAAUCAAAUUAAUGAAAAAAGCAAUAAGAAACAAAAAAGAACAAAGCAAUCGUUCCUAAACAAAAAAAGAAACAUCGCUUGUUUCUGGGCCUCAUUUAUCCUUUGUGGGCCUAUUGCAGCUUGAUUCUCUUUGGGCCCGCGAACUAGUUUUUUUUCUAGCAGAACUGACGAACUCGAGGACAAAAGUUUGGCAAGUGCGAGAGAGAAGAGAUGAACUUGAUGUAUAUCCCUUGUGCUGCUCAAGUACUGCUUACUGUCAUCUGAUGAGCUAGAGUAUGAUCCAACACUCGAGGUUAUUAGCUAACAAAAUAAUCCUAUCACUGAACUGGUAGUUGUCUUCUGCCGAAACUGAAAGUGUCGAAACUUAGCAGUAAACUGCAUACAUUCAGAGAUCGACAGUUGCACUAAACAGAGUUACAUUUGAGAUAAACAGACUUGGAUUGCUAAACAGUGGCAACAACAGUAGACAAACAUCUCUAACGAGAGAUGGCCAUCAAGUAAAAAAUUCUUAGAGCAAGUAUUCAUAAAGCUAUCAGAUUGGAUUGCUUCUUCAACUCAAUCAGCUGCUUGAAGUUCUUGUUCAUCUUCUUCAAUUCCGUCUUCAGUUCGACAUCUACCACCGUCGGGUAUUCCGGACGCGCUGCUGCUGCCGGAGCGGCACUGUCAUGGGGCAGAUUGAACUCGCGGAUUGGAUUCCCCCUCGAAUCCAGCAAGCCCAACCCUUGAAGCCUCUGGAUGUAAUCAUCCAUCCACUCAAAAUGGUGGCAUUUCUUCACGAUCUGAAAACGAAAUCAUGUAACCUAAAUCCAAAUCUGACAGAUUUUUUGAGAAAUUAGAGAUAAAGGAUGCGAGCAAAACUCAGAUCUAACCUGCCCCUCCGGCUUGCUCUCGCAUUUGACGAACUCGCGCCCAAAGUUCACAUUCUUCUCCUCCUUCGAAGUCAACCACUUCAGUGGCGCAGUCCGUGGGCAGUCAGUGCAUCGAGUCAUCGGCACUGGACCAUACACCGGCCACGUGGAAUGGGGGGCUGACGAGGAGGUCGACAUAUCGCUCGAGAGGAAGAAACAGAGGAAUUGCUCGAGAGGAAGAAGAACGAGAAGAUGGGGAAAGAAACAGAGGAAUUGCUCGAUCUGCUCGAUGCCUUUGUCUGUCAGAUGGAGAAGAGGAGAAGGGGAAGUUAUAUUGACGAUUUGCCACAUUGUAUUUUGCAGUUUGAAUAUUUGAACCAACUCUUAACGCUGACAUGUGGUGGUCAUGUGCGAAAAAUACAAUUUCAUAUGUAAAGUGGGGCAGAUCGUAAAAACCCGAGAAGGACAGUGCAGUAGCCAAUCAGGAUGCAUCACGCGGAUCGCGCAUGCCUGCCCCACAUCUGACGGGUGGUGUUUGGCGCUUGGUAGGAUCCGACGGCGGACGUUCGACGCUAGGGUUUGAAGCAUUUCUGCGGGGUUAUGAGCGAGUCAACGGGGUUAUUAGGGUUUGACCAGAUUCCAAAUGGCCAUAACUAAAUUAGAAAAAUCACAAAAAUAUAAAACAAACGUAGUUCGUCCGUUUAUGAGACCUAGUUACCAUAAAAAAAUAUAAACUCGAUAUAGGGGCGUUUUUUUGAAAAAUCAUUUUUUGAAGUGAUCUGUCGAAAUCAAGUUCAAAUGUUUUUAAAAAAAUUCAAAAAAAUCAAAAUGUUGUAAUUCUUGCGCACAUAGCCGUCAUAUGUGACAAGGUUAUGAGAAAAAAAUAUAAACUUGGUGUAGGUCAUUUUCAUGAAAAAAGGCUUCACACAAAUGAGCUAUCACCUAUGAACAUGUUCAGAGUUCGUAGAAUAGGGAGAGAGGGUUUAGGGUUUGAAAAAAAUCAAAAUAAUUCAAAAAAAUCAGAAAAAUCUCCAUAGCUUCAUUUUGGAGUGAAUAAGAAGGAUCUGAACUUACUUUUUCAUUUUCAUAUCUAAAACGUGUUAUUUGACGGUUUUGAAUUAAAAGCAUAUUUUUUCAAAAAAAAUGUAGUAAUAUGAAUAUUAAUCAAUAAAUAGUGAGACUUCGUUUUUACCCUAUAUAUAUGGAACAAGUGUUAAUAAAAAUAUAUAUGCCUCAAAGGUCAAAAUAAACUUGAUUUCAAAUAGGGUUGUUUACCCUAGCUUUCGAGCUCGUUUCUAGCACAUUUCUCAUUCGGACUGUUCACCUACGAAUAUUGGACUUCAAAUGCUCGAUCAAAUACACCGCACAGAGCAAUGAACCUCCAAUCUUCAACUUCAACUUUGGCUCGAAUCCAAAUUUUGGCCCAAAUUCAAAUAUUGAUUUAAAUUCAAAUUUUGAUGGAAAUUUGAAUUCUGACUCAAAUAAGAAACCAAAGUAGAAGCAACAUUAUUACAACUGAUAAGUUUUCACAGUAGCUCAAAUCUACCAAGUUUUAAUAUGCCAACAUCUUAAUACAAAUCUACCAAGUUUUAAGUGAUCGACUCGCCCUCAAAUUGACAACACAAACAUUUCCCAACAACUUAAUUCAAAUUUUCGACUUGCUCCUUGUGUUUGCAGCUGGCUUCACCGUCUUGCUCCUGGUUUCCCUAGUUGAGAUGCUCUUUUCUUUCAGACUCUUGUUCCUUUUGAUCUUGGGCUGUACUUGGGGUUUUCCCCGUGGAGGUGCUGAUGGAGUAGUUCCACUCGCCGAGCACUGGACGACCAUUUGACGGUCAUCUAUGGGUUCAGUAAUCUUUAAAGGCACAAUUGGAAAAAUUACCCCCUCCUCUUCCUCUCUUAUAGCUUCAAAACCAUCAAAGGCCAUGGUUUCAAAAUCUUCGGCUUCUUCAUCUCUUGGCCUUUUCUCCCUAGAGCUGGUAAAUAAAAUUAUAAGCCAUAGGCAAAAAAGAGAACAAAUGCAAACAAAAGGGUAGCUGCAUUCUACAAAGGGUGCAAACACAUACCAAGAUGCUUCAUUUGAUGCUGCAUUCUCCACUGCUUCAUUUGCUGCUGCAUUCUCCACUGCAUCUUCAGUCUCUAUUGCUGUUGCAUUCUCCUCAGCAUUGGCUGCUGUCCAUCUUUCCUCCUCUCCAAAUGAUGCAUCCACUGCAUUGGUACAAAGCCUAGCAAUAUGCCCCAGAACUCCACAUUUUUUGCAAGCACGCUUCUUUGGUAGACGACCCUCCUCACCUGCUCUAAUCCUCUGGUUCCUUGGUCUUCCUGGUGGUCUAAUAAUGACAGGAGCGUGGAGUUUGAACCCUGGAUCUACUAUGUUCCAUUGAUCUUUCCCCAAUAGUGCAGGCACAUUGUCAGCAUAAGCGGCCAUAAAUUUGGCAACAGAGAAAUACUCAGAGCAAUAUUGAUCAACUUCACCAUCUACACCCCCGAUAACGGUCAUCAGAUGUAGGGCAUGUAUGCAUGGCUUCCCAUGGAUCUGCCAUUGCCUACAAGUACAUUCUCUAGUACUUAGGUUCAUAGGAUACCUUCAUACCCUAUUUUUAGUGUCAGUAUAGGUAACCUCUCCCUCAUAUGUACCAGAUCGAAUACAUUUCAUCUUCAAUCCUCUUGCCUUCAAGUGCAAUGCCUUAAUCAGUGAUGGGAGCAUUUGAUAACCAACAUAUUGUGUUUCUGCAAUUCUUUUGCGAAGAGCCAUCUUUAUCAUGAUCAUUUGCCUCAUCUUGUCAAAUGCUUGCCACAACAAGAGCCCUUUCACUGACUUGAACUUUGAAUUGAAGCAUUCUGCAAGGUUACUAGUCACAUAAUCUACUUUGCAGAUUUCGUUGAAUUUGCUUCUUGACCACACCUUACCAUGAUGUGCAUCCAUGUACUCCUUCACAAGAGGAUUUUGAGCAUACAACACUCUCAAAUGGUGUUCAUGCUUCCUUUUGCUGCAUGUGUAUGAUGCUGGCCAUAAGUUCUCAUCAUAAACUUUACCUUUGAACUUCUUUUUGAAAUUAUGCGCUAGGUGUCGCAUACAUUCCCUAUGCUCCACUCCAGGGAAUACAAUUUCCACUGCACUCUCUAAACCCUUGCAAGCAUCUGUGUGUAUAGCUAAACCUGGUGGUGUGCCUAUAAUGUUGCGCAACUGCUACAGAAACCAGACCCAACUUUCCUCAGACUCUGCCUCCACCACACCAAAUGCAACUGGGAAUAGCCAGUUGUGUCCAUCAACUGCAGAAGCUGCUACUAGCUGUCCUCUCCAUCUUCCAGUCAAAUGUGUAGCAUCUACAGCCAAAUAGGGCCUGCAACCAUCUAGAAACCCCUGCCAGCAAGCCUUGAAACAAACAAAAGCCCUUCUGAAGCACUCCUUCUGAAAUGACUUCCCUUUUAUUUUGAAUGGAACUGUAUGCUUGUCAAUCUCUACAACACUCCCUGGACUUGCCAUCUCCACUUCAGCUUUGAAAGUGUAAAGCAGCUGAAAACUGUCAUUCCAUUGACCAUUAAUUCUGUCAAGAGCCUUUUCCCUAGCAUUGAAAAUUCUCAUGUAAGGAAUUUCUAUCUUGUACUUCUCAAAAAGCUUCCCAUGGAGUGCUGUUGGACCAAGUCCAGGUUCUUCUCUCAGCCAAUCCAGUAUAGCAUCUGCCACCCACCUAGUUUUUGCUAGCUUGGUUUUGGCCUUCCCCCCUCCCCCUCCAGGUGGACAGGUGUGCUUGUGUGGGUUUUUCUUUAUCUGAAACAAAAUAAAAGGGUAAAAAACGGUUAAGAAACCUUACUCAACGAUCUGAAACUAAAUUACUAACUGAACUUGGAUUACCUGAAUAUAUUUGCUCUUUCUCAUACGAGAUGCAUGCAACUUCCACCUACACCUAGGAUAUGGACAAAAAACUGUGAACCUUGCUGGCUAACUCCUUUUAAUCUUAUAGGUGUUUUCAGAUAUAAUGCACCAUGUUGUCACUGCAUUCCGACAGUCCACCAUUGAUUGGAAAAUGGUACCUACACUAAGCUCAGGUUUUCCCUAUUCCACUCAAUUGUUGGCAUGUCAUCACCAUCGUAUUCAUCCUUGAUUAAGCUGUCCAUGUUCUCCACCUUCUCUUCAUCGUCAGUGUCAUCAAACCAAGCUUGGCUGAUGGGCUCCUCCAUAUAUUCGUCAUCCACUGCUUGCUGACUGGCUACAUCGACCAGUUCAGGAAACAUCAUCUCGUCUUCAUCAUCAUUUGUAGGCACAGCCUCGUCAGGUUCUCCAUCUUCUUCUACACCAACUGCAAAAGGUACAUGAGAAGCAGCAGCUGAAUCGGAACCAGAAUUGGCAGCAGGCAUGUUGUGGCUCCAUGAACCACUUGCUUUACUUGGUGUCGACCUACAAGGAGUGCCGGGGUGCUGGCUAUUAGCACAGACAGAUGAUGUCUGAACUCCCUUCCCCUUCGCCCGUUCAGCGCGUGGCUGAAGCACAUCGAUUUGGAGUUUACCAAAUCGGCAGCCAGCAAUCCCAGCAAAAAGCAACGGCAUAUGAUCGUCGCAAGUUAGUGGGAGAAAUCUUUGCUCGUCACUGCUGAAGUAAUUCAGUUCAACAGCAUCGGCAUCACUCCAGGGAUAGGUGUUUAGGAGCUCAGCUCGCAAAUCUUUGAAAGAUAUGCUGGUUUCUACCACUUUGGGGAUAGAAAAAUGAUGAAAUCAAAUGCGGUUUAGUACCACGCAGCACACUAGUUUCCAUUCUAAUCGCCAGCCGGAAAGCCAGCGCGGGAUCAAUCCUAUUUUGUUGAAGGAAACAAAGGCUUCAGUUAGCCGGGUAAAAUCGAGCACAAAUUCGAACGAUUCAAGCAAACAGAAGUCAAAUACGGCCUACAAUACGACUUAGAACGUCAAUUCGAGAGGAAACAAUGCUUACCCAGGCUUAAUCCAUGAAUUAUCUGCCGCGGAUUCGACCCAAUCCUCUCCACGGUCGACUGCAUUCCGGGCGUCCUCACUCAACAUCGCUAUGUAAUCCCAGAUGGGGAGGUGGGCUAUAUCUGGCGGAGACGCGGCGUCGCCGACGAACGGAAUAGGGGCAUAGGGUGGAGGGAACAACUGUGGUGGACGCGGCACGACGCCGGUGGAGGGGGCGGGGCGGCGCGGUGUAGUGCGGCCUGUCUAGAUCUGUUUUAGAUUUAGACAAGCUACCCAAUACGUGUCUCCUUGCAGUCCCACCCGUCAGCAAGCAACAGUCAGACGAAGACUCGGCCCCACUCGUCAGCAAUUAACGGUCAAUGGACGGUCAAGACGGCAAACGCCCGCUAUGAGCAUUUGUGAGAGUUUCAGCUAAGGAAGAGGGGAAUAGUGAGCAAACGUUUGGAGCGUGGGGAAAAGUGAGCACAACUAAGGAACCAGGGGCACUAAUUUAAAUAUCCCAAAAUUCAACGGAACAACAGCACGGGCCAUCUAUCUACAACAACAUAGACAUGCAAAAUACUAUCAGGUACUAAGUUCAUGAGAAAUUAAAGUUCAAUUAAUCAUAUUACUUAAGAACUCCCACUUAGAUAGACAUCCCUCUAAUCAUCUAAGUGAUCACGUGAUCCAUAUCACUAAACCAUGUCCGAUCAUCACGUGAGAUGGAGUAGUUUUCAAUGGUGAACAUCACUAUGUUGAUCAUAUCUACUAUAUGAUUCACGCUCGACCUUUCGGUCUCAGUGUUCCGAGGCCAUAUCUGCAUAUGCUAGGCUUGUCAAGUUUAACCCAAGUAUUCUGCAUGUGCAAAACUGGCUUGCACCCGUUGUAUGUGAACGUAGAGCUUAUCACACCCGAUCAUCACGUGGUGUCUCGGCACGACGAACUGUAGCAACGGUGCAUACUCAGGGAGAACACUUAUACCUUGAAAUUUAGUGAGAGAUCAUCGUAUAAUGCUACUGCCGCACUAAGCAAAAUAAGAUGCAUAAAGGAUAAACAUCACAUGCAAUCAAAUAAGUGAUAUGAUAUGGCCAUCAUCAUCUUGUGCCUUUGAUCUCCAUGUCAAAAGCACCGUCAUGAUCACCAUCGUCACCGGCUUAACACCUUGAUCUCCAUCGAAGCAUCGUUGUCGUCUCGCCAAGUAUUGCUUCUAUGACUAUCGCUACCGCUUAGUGAUAAAGUAAAAACAAUUACAGGGCGAUUUGAUUGCAUACAAUAAAGCGACAACCAUAUGGCUCCUGCCAGUUGCCGAUAACUCUGUUACAAAACAUGAUAAUCUCAUACAAUAAAAUUUAGCAUCAUGUCUUGACCAUAUCACAUCACAACAUGCCCUACAAAAACAAGUUAGACGUCCUCUACUUUGUUGUUGCAAGUUUUACGUGGCUGCUACGGGCUGAGCAAGAACCGUUCUUACCUACGCAUCAAAACCACAAUGAUUUUUCGUCAAGUGUGUUGUUUUAACCUUCAACAAGGACCGGGCGUAGUCACACUCGAUUCAACUAAAGUUGGAGAAACUGACACCCACCAGACACCUGUGUGCGAAGCACGUCGGUAGAACCAGUCUCGCGUAAGCGUACGUGUAAUGUCGAUCUGAGCCGCUUCAUCCAACAAUACCGCUGAAUCAAGGUAUGACAUGCUGGUAAGCAGUAUGACUAUUAUCGCCCACAACUCUUUGUGUUCUACUGGUGCAUAUAACAUCUACGCAUAGACCUGGCUCGGAUGCCACUGUUGGGGAACACAGUAAUUUCAAAAAAAAAUCCUACGCACACGCAAGAUCCAUCAAGGUGUUGUCCACGUACAUAGCAACGAGAGGGGAGAGUGUUGUCCACGUACCCUCGUAGACCGUAAGAAGCGUUAUGACAAUGCGGUUUAUGUAGUCGUACGUCUUUAUGAUCCGACCGAUCCUAGCACCAAAGGUACGGCACCUCCGCCAUCUGCACACGUUCAGCUCGGUGACGUCCCACGAACUCUAGAUUCAGCUGAGGUCAAGGGAGUGUUUUGUCAGUACGACGGCGUGAUGACGGUGAUGAUGAAGCUACCUGCGCAGAGCUUCGCCUAAGCACUGCAACGAUAUGACCGAGGUGGAAAUCUGUGGAGGGGGGUGAGGGAGUCCUGGAUUAAGGGGUCCUCGGGCGUCCGGACUAUGUAACAUGGGUCGGACUAAUGGGCUAUGAAGAUAUAAGACAGAAGACUUCUUCCCGUGUCCGGAUGGGACUCUCCUUUGCAUGGAUGGCAAGCUUGGCGUUCGGAUAUGUAGAUUACUUCCUUUGUAAACCGAUUCUGUACAACCCUAGGCAUCUCCGGUGUCUACAUAAACCGGAGGGUUUAGUACAUAGAGGCAAUCAUAAUCAUACAUGCUAGACAUCUAGGGUUUAGCCGUUAUGAUCUCGUGGUAGAUCAACUCUUGUAAUCCUCAUAUUCAUCAAGAUCAAUCAAGCAGGAAGUAGGGUAUUACCUCCAUCAAGAUUUCCUGAACCUGGGUAAACAUCAUGUCCCCCGUCUCCUUCUACCAUCGACCUUAGACGCACAGUUCCGGACCCCCUACCCGAGAUCCGCCGGUUUUGACACCGACAUUGGUGCUUUCAUUGAGAGUUCCGCUGUGUCGUUGUCAGAAGGUUCGAUGGCUCCAUCAAUCAUCUACAACAAUGUCACCCUGGGAGAGGUUUUUCUCCCUGGCCAGAUCUUUGUAUUCGGCGGCUUCGCACUGCGGGCCAACUCGCUUGGCCAUCUAGAGCAGAUUGAUAGCUACGCCCCAGGUUACCACAUUAGCUUUGGAAAUCUGGACUAUGUCGCUGAUAUCCGAGGAGACUUGAUCUUCCAAGGGUUCACGAUCCCAACCUCCGCUCCGGCCUUUGAUCCGGAGCACAUCGCUGGGUCCGAAGACGGGAUUCUUGAGCCCGUCGGACUAUCUACGGCCACCAAACCCAGUACGGGAGAGCCGGAAGAAGCAGUGUCGCUAGCAACCAUCACGAACCCGGACCCUUCUCCAGACACUGUCUCUGAACCCACGGAGUCAGCGUCGUGUGAGCUCGGCAAAAGAAUCUCCUUCCCACUGUACUCCAGAACUCUCUUCUCACUGGACAAACCUCGCCUUUAAGCGAGGCUCUGGACUUGAUGCGAUCCCUCGUCAUUAUAGAGGAGCAAUGUACGAACUACGCCCAGCCCGGACUAGGGGCUGAGAGCUGGGAAUUUUACGUCCCACCCACCACCCACUUCAUAGCCACUGUCGAGGACUUAACUGACAUGCUCGACUACGGCUCCGAAGACAUCAAUGGUAUGGAUGACGAUGCCGGAGAGGAGCCGGCCGAAAACCCGUCAUUUACCGGACGCUGGACGGCCACCUCUUCGUAUGACGUGUACAUGGUGGAUACACCCAAGGAGGGUAGCGGCUAUGAUAAAGAAGAUCCAGUCGAGGAUAAACCUCCUGAGACAUAGCCAAAGCGCCAACGUCAAUGGUGCCGCUCUAAAUCACGCCGCGAAAAAGUUAGCAAUACCGGCACAGGAGGCAACAACACUCCGGACGAUGCCGAAGACAAAGAAGACCCCGUCGAGCCAACUUUCGAACAGGACGAUCCGGAAGAUGGGCAAGUUAGCCCUGACGAACAGGCCGUAAAUGAAGACUCGGAGGACAGUAAUUAUCUUCCACUCUCCGAGGACGAGGUGAGCCUCGGUGACGAAGACUUUAUCGUACCUGAGGAACCUCUCAAGCAGGAGCGCUUUAAGCGCCGGCUAAUUGCCACUGCAAGGAGCCUAAAAAAGAAACAGCAGGAGCUUCAAGCAGAUCAAGAUCUGCUCAACGAUAGGUGGACUAAUGUCCUGGCAGCCGAGGAAUACGGCCUCGAGCGCCCAACCAAAAGUUACCCGAAGCGUAAACGGCUACCCCAAUUUGACGACGAGGCCCUCGAGCCCACACAUCAUCAGCAUGUAAUGCGGCUGACCGACCACCUCGUGGCCGGGACAAAACGGCAACUCAAGCCGAACACCAGCCCAUACUACCUCGCCGUAAAGGUAGAGAUGUAACAGCUCGGGGAUAUACAUAUGACCUGCGGCAAGACCUGGACAGUAGAGCAGNNNNNNNNNNNNNNNNNNNNNNNNNNNNNNNNNNNNNNNNNNNNNNNNNNNNNNNNNNNNNNNNNNNNNNNNNNNNNNNNNNNNNNNNNNNNNNNNNNNNNNNNNNNNNNNNNNNNNNNNNNNNNNNNNNNNNNNNNNNNNNNNNNNNNNNNNNNNNNNNNNNNNNNNNNNNNNNNNNNNNNNNNNNNNNNNNNNNNNNNNNNNNNGCGAUGACGGCUAUCUAGCCGGACGUGACAAGCAAAAUGACGCCCGGGCCGAAAACCGCACACGGACUCCAUCCGAGCUGCUCGCGACUUGGCCCGAUAUAGAGGCGUCGCACACCCCCUCUGCUUCACUGAUGAAGUAAUGGAGCACGAAUUCCCAAAAGGGUUUAAUCCCGUGAAUAUUGAAUCGUACGGUGGAACAAUAGACCCCGCGGUAUGGAUUGAGGAUUUUUGUCGGUGUCAAAACCGGCGGAUCUCGGGUAGGGGGUCCCGAACUGUGCGUCAAAGGCGGAUGGUAACAGGAGGUGGGGGACACAAUGUUUACCCAGGUUCGGGCCCUCUCGAUGGAGGUAAUACCCUACUUCCUGCUUGAUUGAUCUUGAUGAUAUGAGUAUUACAAGAGUUGAUCUACCACGAGAUCGUAGAGGCUAAACCCUAGACGCUAGCCUAUGAUUAUGAUUGUUGUCGUCCUACGGACUAAACCCUUCGGUUUAUAUAGACACCGGAGGGGGCUAGGGUUACACAGAGUCGGUUACAAGGGAGGAGAUCUACAUAUCCGAAUUGCCAAGCUUGCCUUCCACGCAAAGGAGAGUCCCAUCCGGACAUGGGACGAAGUCUUCAAUCUUGUAUCUUCAUAGUCCAACAGUCCGGCCAAAGUAUAUAGUCCGGCAGUCCGAGGACCCCCUAAUCCAGGACUCCCUCAGUAGCCCCUGAACCAGGCUUCAAUGACGAUGAGUCCGACGCACAGAUUGUCUUCGGCAUUGCAAGGCGGGUUCCUCCUCCGAAUACUCCAUAGAAGAUUUUGAACAUAAGGAUCAUCUCCGGCUCUGCAAAACAAAUUCCACAUACCACCAUAGAGAGUAUAAUAUUUCCACAAAUCUAAUCUGCUGACAACUUUUCAUAACGUGACGUCACGCCAUGGCCCGGUCAUUAUUCGAACCGUUUUUCUCAACCAGCCACCGCACAUAUUGCGAGGCGGUUUUCUUGGCACGUCUUGUCGAAGCAGAGAUCGUGUCCCCUUAUCACGGGAUUCUCAUCAAUACGGGUGUGGGUAACCCAACCGCGCCAUCAAUCAUGGCGCUUGGGGAAUAAGCGAGUUUAUCGGGCCAGUGGGGAGGCACAGGAUCCCUGCUACCUUUAUAAGGGGAUAAGGACUCCCUUUCGCACCCACACUUUCUUCUUCCCGAUUCAUUCCCUCCGCUCGAGCUCCAGCGCCCAAGCGUUUGUCUUCUCCGCCCACAAAGGCCUUUCGAAAAUGUCCGGAUCCGAAGCAGGAGGCAAGUGGAUGGCCUCUACCGUCCGGGAGAAGGAUAUCAAAAAGCUUCGGGAGGCCGGGUACCUGGCCAAGAAAAUCAGCCACCAUCUCCCGACGGCGGGACAGGUCGUCCCUACUCCGGAACCCAUGAGAGUGUUGUAUUCCUCCGUCAUUUUGUCCGCAGGCUAGGGUUUCCCCUCCAGCCGUUCGUUCGUGGCAUCAUGUAUUAUUAUGGGAUCGAUUUUCAUGAUCUAUCCCCCAAUUCCUUCCUCAACAUCUCGACAUUCAUCGUCAUGUGUGAGGCUUUUCUCCGCAUCUUGCCACACUUCGGCUUAUGGCUGAAGAUCUUUAAUGUGAAGCCCAAGGUAGUGAGCGGCGAGCAUGCCGAGUGCGGGGGUGCUAUGGUGAGCAAGAUGCCCAACGUUACAUGGCCAACGGGUACUUUUAAUGAUUCCGUCAAAGAGUGGCAACAGCAGUGGUUUUACAUCACUGAGCCGCGCGGCAUGGAAUGGGCCGCUGCUCUCGAGUUCCGAUCGGGAGCCCCUCUGCGGCUUACGUCCUGGCCCAAGAAGGGCCUGAACUGGUCUUCGUCCGACGAACUGUCGUUGCUCCAGACGCGCGUUAAGGAUAUGGAAGACAAGAACAUCGAACUCGUCAAUGUAGUCCAGGUGAUGUUAGUUCGCCGAAUCCUGCCUUGUCAACACCGGACUUGCAAUCUAUGGGAAUUCGAUCUAGCCAAGCACCAGACCCUGCGAGAGCUCUUUGGCUCCUCGCACAAAGACAUCUGGAAGGUGCUUUUCAAGUCCGGCAAAUCAUGGUCGGACUCGGCCGAGGACCGCGGGUACCAACUGUCCCGCCCUGCAAGCUCGGUAAGUUAUUUUAUGUUUUAUCCGCAUAACCCAAAGGAAAUGCUUAGUGUGUUUUCCUCAACUCCCCUAGGGCUGGACGAAGAAGGCGGAGCGGAUCCACUGUCCGGCCCCACUGCCCGAAGGACCGGCCAACCCACUUCUGACGAAGAUGUUGGUCCCGGCGCCGUAUAAGGCGCCGAAGAAGAAGGCCGAGAAGGAGGCCAGAAAGACCCGGGGUGGCCUUCGUCGCCGCGGCACUUCAGACACAAUAUCCGAAGGUUCCAAUGCCCGUUCUGCCUUCGAAGAGGACGAAGAGGAGGAGGAAGACGAAUCCCCAGCGGGGGGAAGAAAGAAGAGGGCGGCCUCAAUACACUUGGAGGCCGAGUCGCCUAAAAGGGGAAAAGCUCCUCUUCCGGAAGAGUCCACUGCGGCCGCCGACAACAGCCCGGCGUGGGAUCCCAGGGCCCAUCCCCUGGUGAACUCGUGAGUAUAAAAUCCGAACACAUUUACGCGUCCAGUCUCAUCAUGGCGUAAUAUUUUGACCUGAGCCAUAUUUUUUGUAGUCCGGCGAGGUCUCGCACUGAACUAUCCUCAUCAGAGGAUUUGCUGAGCUCGGAUGCUAUGGAGAGCGGGAUGCCCUCAAAGGCCCCUUCCCCGAAACAUGUGGAUAACACUGAGGCUUCGUCCCAGAAGGGCCCCGGCCAAGGAGGGGAGGAAGAGAUCGUGAAAGCGACGCCUGGAGGUCAAACUUCUGGGGCCGGAGACAUGGGGGAAAAGAUUCCCAUGGGAGUCGUCGGCGGGAGCCAUCUUGAAUUUGGCUCCCAGCCGGACGCAAUUUCGGAGACCAAUACGGCUCCAGAAUCAAACAGGCGGCCUCCCUCGGAUGGAGGGGGCUUUCCUGUUCCACCGACAAUCUCUGUCCAACCAGAGGUGCCGGAUGCUUUGUUGGCGGCGCUGAAGAGCGCCUCCAUCCUCGACGAACACUGUGCCCUUAUGGGUGCGGUGAUUGAGAAGAUUCAGUCUGCUGAGAGUGGACUGAAUGAAGCCUGCAUCAGCCUUAUAAGAGGCUUUGAGGUAUGUUUUAUGAGGUUUCGAAGAAUGUCAUAGUAUGGAUAGUAGCCCCUGAUACACUGUUCGGUGAAAGAAAGAACCGGACAGAGGAUCAAAUGUUAUGUUUGCAGGAAGACUCAUUUGGUGACAUCUAUCUCUCUUUUAUAAGCAGGCGUCUGCAACGGCUGCUGCCUCUCAUACUGCGGAGGUCUCCGGACUGAAUCAAAGUCUGGAGCGGACCAAAGAAGAACUUGGCCAGUUGAAAAGGCAGUUGGAAGAUAAUCAAGGUAUGCGCAAGCCUUGUUCGCGUUUGGCGCGAAUGAAUUUCAGUAUGAUAAAAUAUGUUUCGUGAUUUUCUCUAGGGGCGAUGACCAAAGUCGAGGCUCUUAAGAAGGCUGUGGCCGAGGCCGAGGAAAAGGCAGCCGCAGAGCAGGCUCUUUGUGAGAAGCACGAGGCCAGGGUUAUUGAAGCUGAGCAAAAGCUUCAAGAGGCCGUUAAGAAAUGCGAGACCUUGGAGCAGAGUUUAACGGAGAAAGAAUCCGAACUCACCAGGGCUUAUCAGGCCGCACGCAGGGGAAACCCACGGCGCCCUGCAGGAGAUCCAAGAGGCGAGGAAGAUCGCCGCGGGUAAGCCUCUUUUCCACGUAAAUCAAGUAUUUGAGGAGAAAAUCAUGUUUCUAAUUUUGAGUUCGGAUUUCUCCAGGGGUGUUUACGAAUCUGCCCCGCAGCAUAUCGGAUGCCGCCCAAUUCUACCGAGCCGAAGAAAGGAACACUGCGGAUAAGCUCUUCUGGUCGCAGUAUCUGGCACCGAAUUAUCCGGUGCCUUUCGUCGACCAACUGAAAUAGCUGAUCGAACUGCAUAGGGCGGCCGAGCUAGCCAUGAAGGAUUUGAUUAUCCGGCUAUGGCCCGCCGAGCCGAUUCCAAGCAGCUACUUCGGGCUCGUGAAGCGGCUUGUGGGUGCCUGCCCUCGACUUGACGUCAUCAAGCGGUCGUUCUAUAUAGAGGGUGCGCGAAUGGCCUUCGCCCGCGCAAAGGUGCACUGGGGGAAGAUGGAUGCUGA
rnacentral:lncRNA from 1 species